CUGUUGGGAUUACUGGGGGGCUGGCACAAACAGGGGAACCAGGGAUUAAAGAACACCAUCUCAAGGAUUUGGACUGGUGUCAUCGACCACAGAAGAGUCCGGGGAUCAUUCGCCACUGCAGCAAGAAAAUCCAGGAUAAACAGAGCUAGCAGAGCGUUUCGGACGACAGGGUGGAUGAAACAGGAAAGUCAAACACAGACAGCAGGAUACCACUGCAUGGUAGGACCAUAAAAUAUCUUCUGAGAAUGUGUUUUUAUGAUUAUGCUGCAGUUAAAUCACCCACAGUCCGUGAGAGUCCAUAAUGAAUGGACAGGACCACUUGUUGCCCUGUCUAGAUCAUUUUAGACAGUGCAAACAGACCCAAACAUUUGCAUCCUGUGCAGCAGUGCAGUGACAUUUGCUCCUGUGCAGAGGAGCUGUCAGCACCUCAACUUUCUGCUGUGAGAGUUUUGCUUUCAUGCUGGUGGAGCUGAGCUCACUCCGGAUACAGAUAAUGAGCAGAGAGGGGAGAGGGCAGAUCUUUUUUUCUCGUUCUUUGUAAAGUCUGGACUCACAUCUGUGACACGUAGUUUUCUUUCUACAAAGAGCAGCUCGUCAGGACAGAAUAAAAACUCUCUAACAAAGUUUUCUCUCUGGAGUGAACCACUAAAACAGUUUGUCCAGAAAAAAACAUGGCUCUUAACUUUGUUCUACAGCUUCGUCUCCGCACAUCGAGAAAAUACUAUGCCACUUAGUAAGGACUCUGUCUUAAUCAGCCCUGAAUCCAUUUGUAUCCUUGUUUUUUUUUUUCUUUUUUUAAAGAUUGAAAUAUUUAGACCAUAUUAUUAUUUAAGUGGAAGUGGAUUCAGGAUCACUAAAUUGAUCACAGGUUAGACUUUAUUGACCCCAAAUCUCAGACAAACCUGAUCGUCAAAUCUUAUCUCCGUAAUGUGACCAUAUUGUGAUAUCUGUCUUGGGCAGCACUGGCCUUUCAAUGGACCUUUAGAGGCCAGCUGAUUGCAGAUUUAGCCUCUGAUUGGUUGAAACACCAAAACAAAGAUGGCAGCCUUUGUCUAGGAUGGUCAGCUAACAUCAGAAACAACACUAUUUGUGUAAAUUAAACACAUAAAUCAUCAAAGGUAAGCAGUAUUUUUGAGUUGGGUCUGGUUUGUUUCUGAAAAUAGACUGAUCUGGUCGCUGGAUGUUGCAAAAUCAGGAAAGCCGCCGGUCUCACGGUGCAAGUGGAUUUGAAAGUGAGUUGCCACCUUUCUACUUUAGAGCUGAUAUCAUAAACAUAGUACAAGGUCAAGUCUAUAAAUAACUGAACCCUGAUCAUAACGCCAUCUCACUUGUUAAGGAUGUAUUUUGAGGUGAAAAACCCUGUUUUCAAUUUGGAUCAAUAGGAUAUGUGUCUGUAGAGCCUGAGACUGGAGUUUUAGAGCUGAAGUUCUGGAACUGCAUCCUUUGACCCCUAUGCUGUUGUGUUCCAAUAGAUGGUGUCAAAUAGCAAGCGUCUCUAAAAUUGUGGUCCUGAAUCUGCUGCCUGUGGUUCUGCAGACACGUGCCAGUCCUUUUGUGCCACACUGAAAGGAUACUAAUAAGCGAGCUCUGACUGUGCACAGCUAUUAAUGCUGGGGUUUGCAAAUUGGAUGUAUUUAAGAAUUCAAGCUCAUUUGCAUCCAGGAACUAAUUUUGCCCUAAAUGAGUGCAAAGUUAUGUAUUUCAACAUUAGUAUUUCAGCACCAAAACAGAGACGCUCUGUUUUCGCCUGCAGUACAAUGUUGGGUGCUUUAGCAACCCAUGGCAUGAAUAAAAACAAAAUACUUGAUCCUUCUCUUACGAGCAGCAAGAAGUUCAGAGGCAAAUAAAGCCAAAAAGAAGCCUUAGAGAGACAAAUAUGAAACAACAUUUAUUUGUACAAUAAACACAAAUCAUAGACACCUGCUUUAAAGCACAUACUAACAUAAUAAAAGGCAUCCAAAGCCCUUUUAAAACACAGUAGAUCCCAUUUAUAGUCCCAAGAAAACUUAGGUGCAUUCACAUCAAUAUUGCAACAUCUCUACAAACAAUAAAUCAGCCUAACAGUUUAAAGGUGCAGUGUGUGGUUUUUAGCAGCAUUUAGAAGAGCAGACUGGGUGUUGGUUCAAAGAGGACAAAGACUCAGCUUGUUAUACAGGAGCUUCUUGUCCUCAAAGGUUGUGCAAUUCAAGGCUACUGGACCACAUAUGCUUUUAAGUUGACAGAAGCUGUAAACUUUCUGCAGGUCUGUAAACACUGUAAUUAGUAAGACAGAGACCCAAACCUAACAGCAUACCACACCAGUCUGCUAUCAAUACUUACCAGUGGUGUGUAGCCCUGUUGUGCAGAUGCUGUUUGUCUAUACUGGCUCUGCAGCACUUGGCUUCUAGAGCGCACUGAACAUGAAUAAUGCAUAAUAAGUGGUCGGACUCUGGUGGCCACUAACAGGUGCAUUUAACUCCUUUUUGUGUUCAUUUUUUAACAGAUGGUUCCUCUAUAAGUGAAGGUUUACUGGUCAAAGUAGCUGCUUGUUUUUUCUCUGAAUUCCUCCCUGGGUGUGUUUCCUUGAGUGUGUUUAUAUAGGUUGAAGAGCUGGCAACAGUGCAAACACGAAACCUGAGUGGCAGACCUCCGAGGACUUCGGUAUCUAUGAGUUAUUCUUAAACAGCUAAAAGCUGUUGGCAGUAAGACAGUCUAAAUCAGUUUCAGUAUGUGAUAUAUUUAGAGAGUUUUAUUUUCGGCUCUACGUGGAUGACAAAGGAUGUGACAGUUUUCAAGUUUUAUAUGUGACAGUUAAAAAAUGGAGGAUGAUGCAUUUUUGCUUUUUUAUAUAUUCUGUGAAACUACUAGACUCAUCUAACCUGAUGCACUUACAUCUCCUAUGAUCUGGAUUUCUUUGGGGGCCAGUGCAGCCUGAUUUAACUCCCCGAGCUCCUGCUAGUUCUGCUUCUGUCACUUGAUUUGUUUCCUCCCUCGUGUGAGUGGACAUUUUUUGAGCUCUGUGUUGCUGAUCUUUUUGUUCGGGCUCCAACAUUAGGCUCAGAGGAGUCUGUGCUCUCGCUCAUUUAAUUAUGCCCAUGUGAUGUACUGGCUGAGAGCUACACCUCGCCUGGCUUCCCUAAUCUGAUGGCAAAUAAGGCUGACAUCCAUCUCGCCAUGUCAGAAAGCGUAAUGGCCACACUUUCUCUUCUCUCUUUGGUCUACAUUGAUGCAGGACAGCCAUUCAGCCUCCACUCCCCUCUCAUCCCUCCUUUACUCUUCCCAUUCAUCACAGGAAGUCCCAGCAGAUGAGAUCGUUUAACAGUGGGCGUGAAUGGUGAUGUGCACUCUCUCCGUCUGGUAAAGAAGGCCCUCUGCUAUUUGGACUUCGUAGCCCAGCUUCAGAGGACUCUGUCAUUGGGAGCGACAUUUUAAUUAGACCAUUAACUUCUAGAGAGACUCCGCUAGAUAUCUUGAUGAACAGUUUUCUCCCCCCAAUCUAAGACUCAAACUGUGGGCCUCCACACACCUCUGACAACAUCUUCAUACGCAUCAUUUCCACCCAUCACAGCCUGAGAGUCUUCCUCCCAAAUGCACUGCACACUGCCAGUUUCAGCCUUUGUGGCUCAAUAAGAGAGAUGGGAAAAGAUUGCAGAAGAUUAUAUUGGAAGCGGACAAUGCUGGGAAACUACACUUCUUACAAUUCUUUUCCUGAUCCCAUUAUGUGCUCUCAUGCUUUUUUGAAAGUCAGUUUUAAAAACGCAUGCUCGGAUCUCAGAUAUGGAGAAAAAUACAUUUUUGUAAUGUGACAGCUAUUGUUGAAACCCUAUUUUCAGGUCCACAGACAUGGAAGCCAGUUUGCACCUUUUAACAACAUUCAAUGCUGCAUACUGAGGUAGAGCUGACUGAGCCUGAAAUGACAAAUAAUGUGUCUUUUGUGUGAAAUGAAUGAAGGAAACCAAGAUAUAUGUGAUCAAUGGGUUAAAGAAAAAUAUAUUUAUAAAAAUAUGAAAGCAGGUGUCAAAAUAAUCUUCAACCAAUCCAAAAAGCACAGUCAUACAAACAGAAGGGCACAUAAAACAUGGAAGUAGUCUUACUGUUGUGUUUCUGAAGCCAUCGAUGGCUAAGCGAUUCUGGCUGACUGAACUUUCAGCAAACCAUGAAAGAGGCAAAGAGAUUUUUUAAAAACCUUUUAAAGGGAAAACAGCUUGAAGAACACAAAGUUGCACACACAGACACUCUGGGAGCCAACAUUAAAAUAAACAAUAAAUAAAAAGAAACUAUUUCAGAGUCAGAAUCAAAAAAUCAAAUUUGGUUAAUUUUAGCUUUAAAAACACGGAAUAACAUUACCUCUUUGAGUUCAAGUCACUCUGCGAUAAAUCCCAGUUUUAGGGGGCAGAACACUCAAAAGCUCUUCUUCUACCAAUUUCUGUAGAAGAGCUUGAUUCCUAACUUCAGAAUCUUCAAAAUGAAUGAGUAACAAAGAAAAUCCACUCGUACAAUUAUAAAACUUGGCUUUUCAGAAUAAAACUGAUGUGUUUUGGUCUUUGUAUCAGGCUGUAAACAUGUUCUUUCGUGCUUUUUAGGGUGUCAAUAGGACUCUCUAAGCUAACGUGUGUGGUUUUUAGUCUUUUGAUCAUAGAAUUUGAGUUAGAUUGUGUAGUUUCAUUACAUAAUUUAACCUCAGAGGUCAUUGGUUGAUACCAGCAUACAGAAUUACCAAUAAUAGUUGAAACCAAGUGGUCAAUUGCAUCAAAUAAACAUGCAGGAUGAGGUUUGAAAAUUCUUUAUUUUUACUUUCUAAAUUCUACAAUAAAAAUAUUGAAAGCACAAUCAUAUCAGACGCACCAGUUUCUAUUAUGGCUAUUAAAAUGCUGAUGUUGAUUAUAGAACAGCUUGACUGUAACUGCUUCAGUUGAUAUUAUUAUCCCUACCUCUAUUAUCAUUGUCAUUAUUACAAAUGCAGCUAUUAGAUCUGGUGACUCUAACUGCCAUAAACAUUAAGAUUGGUCUAUUAUCAUUGAUUUGCUUCCUGUAAAUAGUUCACAUACCUUUAUGAUUAUAAUAGGGACUGUAACUUAAACUCUGUGUGAGCUGCAGUUGUUGUUUUUGUUGUUGCCUGUCUCUAUCCCUCCCUUCUAAUUCCAACAACUGUGAGUGUCCCAAGUUUUGGCACAUCAUUUUGCAGUCCAGUCUGGUUGUUUCAGUAGACUGAAAACUUUUUUUUUGACUGCAGGGCCUUUACUUGGUAGAGACACCUACCUUACCCUGUUUGUACUACACUAUCAGAUUCCUCCUUUGCUGUACUUUUUUGACAGUGUGCAACAUAAAGCCAAAAUAACCCCCAACAAAGAGAGAAAUUGACAGUGAAACAUGCACUAUCUAAAUUUGUGACUCAGAGUUGAUGGAGGUAAAGCUGGGUAAACAAACAUGACCUUUUAUGUUACUGUCUAUAAAUAAUGGAGAUGUUGUGAACCUGAAGACCCUUCACAAAGUUGAUUUUCUUGUGAGGAUGGUGCAUUCUAAGAAGUGGAAAAAAGAAUACUGUUCUUUUUUUCUUUUUUCUUUAAUUGACCAAGAAUGUCAAGAAGAAAUUUUCAUUUUGGAGCGGUGAACAUUGACCAUGACAUGGUUAAGAGGCAAAAGGCAGUCACCUGGACCACCUCAUAUGUAGACCACCUAUUGAACCAUACAGUCAGAAAGACACCCAACCACGACCAGGAAGUGUGAAAUGUACAGAAGGACAGGACCUUACUUUCUGUAUUGAUUUCUGUGCAGUUGCUGACUGUGUGAAAUCACAACAAAGACAACAACAACAAUCAGAUAAAUAUGUAUGUAUUACCUCAGGAGCAUGUCAGACAAAUAGUGCGUUACUUCAAUGGGACACCUGUAUCAUAGACAGUGUAGAGACAGGGUUAUUGUUGUGCAUGUUCAAGGAUGAGACCAGCAUUAUGAACUAUUCCUCGUCUUCUGAUAUCAACAGCUAAUAUGCCAAAUUUGAAUUAGGCAUUACGCUUAUUUCUUGAUCAUUAUCACAUCCUCCAGUAUAACCUGUUUUCAGGCUGGUUGGGAGGAAUGAUUGGAAAGUGGAAAACUCUGUUUUUUUCAAAUUUUUCCUCAUUGUGUGUCGCUGUGGUCACUAUAAUGACUGUCACUUUAAUAGCAUGUGGCUAUUGCAUGAUACCCUGUGUUAGAUCCUCAGUGGUCUGACUCAUAGAGAUGAUUGGUCCAUACUCUGGACUAGCACAGACCAAGCUUAUGUUCAGCUGACUCAAACUCUUAAGUUAUGUUACACUUAGGAUUCAGGAGGGAAAUAUUAGAAAACUGCUAUCCAAGAUGUGCAUGAAGGUUACAUAAUAAAGAUAGUGUGAAGGAUAAGGUCACUGUGAUGUUUGAACUAUGCAAGGACAGCAGACACUUAAUGAUUAGAAAGAAACCAAGGGUAAGAGUUACUUGUUUAGGGUUGACCGUUGACCAUAUUUGGAGAUGAUGAUGAAGAUGGAGGACUGAGGAAGCGAGGAAAGAAGACUCUAAAAACCUCUCAAUCAGGGACCACUUAUAUGUAUCUACUUAAUGCUUCAUUCUUGUAAGAACCAUACUUUCAUUACAUAUCCUGAACUAUGGAGUCCACUUUUUGUCAUUUAAGAAAGAUUUUUCAAACUGUUUUUCAUCCAAACCUCUGAGAAGGGGCCUGUCUGUAUAAGUCCACUCGUGUAAAGAUUGUAUGUAUUGUUCAGGUUACGAUGAGAGCACCCUCUGCUGGAUCGCGUAGAAAGCCACUUUAGCAGCCUAACACUGGUAUACUGUAUUAUUAUGAGUUUAAAUGCCUCAUUACAGUUUGAAUGUAAGCUUUUCUCCCAGAGUUCAAAUGAAGGUUUAAAUUUUGAAUAAAAAGUGACAGCUUUUUGUAUUAUGAGUGGUGUAACAUUACAGGUUAACUCUUGUAACUCGUGUGUCCUUUUUUUAUUUUGCAAAAAAGUGCUGCCUUGACUUGUCUGCACCGCUUUCAUUAUAUUAUGACUGCAGGUUUACCGAGGUCCCUCACCCUUUUAAUGCUCGUUCUUAAACUGAUUGCUUGAGCUUUGGUUUAAUGUUGUGUAAAGCAUUUUAUAUUUGUUUUAUUGCCUUCUUAUAUUAAAAAAUGCAUUCAUAUAUAUUUUAUGGCAGUGGUAGACCUGUCUUAUGAGGUGUUAAUUUUUCAGACAGUCACAACAGGUAAAUUCUGUGGCCGCUCAAUAUCUCUGAGAAAAGAGUCAAUUGCGAAUCAGUCUCAGCAAACGCAAAGAACGAAACUUAUCUUCCCCGACUUUAAAACACUGCCACACAGCAAGCAAUGAAAAUAAGGAGGGGAGUAGCAAAGAAAGUACCAAUUCUCCAAACCUAUUGAAAAUAACUCUCGCCAGACGGAUGAGGUGAGAAUGAAAAUAGAAGCAUACAAUAGAGGAAAGACUUUGGCUUUUUUCUCUUGCCUGUGAUCAGUAAUCACUGAGGCAGACAGAAGAGAGUAAUCUCAGAGAGGGUUCAACAAUUCUGCCCAUCCUGAGAUUACAUUAUUUUCCCAAAUUGCAAGUGAAGCCUCUCAAUCCACCAGCCAAUGAAUCAACAGUGUAGGGAGGAGAGAGCGCAGCGGGCAGUGCUGCUAAGACAAGGCGUGUGCGAGGCAUCCUAUUAAGGGGAGAAAACAACUGGGAAUAGCAAAGCAGUGCAACGGCUGUGGCAAAUAAUUUCACAAAACCCGAUUGGAGAGCUGCUUUGGAGAAACCGUGAUCUGUUGGAAAUGAGUAUGUGAUGUGAAGGUGGGAAAACUUACAGCCAAUAAAAAAAGACAUUUAUUUUCACUGCUGGGAAUGAUGAUUGACAGGGCUGACUGUGUUUACAGGUGUAGGUGUUUUGAUAUCUGAAUAAAAACAAUUAACGUCUGAUGGGUCAGAGCAUAAAAAAAAUUAAAUAUAAAAAAGUUGUCAGUCUUGUCGUGUUUUUUUUUUUUCUAUACAAUAACAAUGAUGCAUCACAAUAAAUUUUAAUUUAUUUAAAAAAUGUUUAAAAAAUCUCCUUACAGGAGCUUUAAUGUUAAUGGUAAACCUGCAGAAAACCUGUCUUUUGCUGUGACUUUUCUUUUUUCACAUUCAAAGUGUCUUUUUGUACUCAAUUGUCUGCUGCAAGGAUUAUUAUUUUAUUUUAUUUUUUAUUUUUGGAGGAAUUAAUCUCUAUUUUUCUUUUCUCUAUCUUUCUUUUUGUAGUCAGUUGUCUGCUACGAUGAUUACUAGGGCUACAUUAAGAAAAAAAUAGUUGUUGAUUGUGUCAAAAAUAAGCCAUGUACUUCCGUUUUAAGGGGAAAAGACACAAGUCUCAGCUUUUUUGGGUCACAAUACUCAUAGUAUUGAUGUGCCAAAGUGGUGUGAAAUUUAACAAGACGCUCUACGAGGCUGCUGGCUGCUUACUGUAAACCCAAAAUAAGACUUUAUUCUCAUAUCAUCACAAUUCAAGUCCUGUAACCUAAUGACUUUAAUUUUGUAUCAUUAUGGUCUCUAUUUUUGUGCCUCACCGGAGUGGCGUAGGUGCGGCUAAAGUCAGGUCCGCCACGCCGAUGAGGUGUGCCCAAGCACACUUUGGUAUCUUGGUGAGCGACGAAGCCCGGCGUAAGUAUCCCCCCUCCCUAACUCAGCUCCUCCCAGCGGCGCAAGUAGCAAGAGGGAAGGGAGAAGGCGUGGAGUGGAUUUAACACAGCCGAGUCUUGUUUUCACCAUCACAUCAGCUCCUCCUCCUCCUCGCCUUUAAAUCCGCCACCGGUGAGGUGUAUUGCAAUUUUCAGGAAGUAGUCGAAGAGAUCAAGAGAUGGCUGAAGACAGCAAUGCCACAUGAUGGCGACAGGAGGCAGCUCCUCAACAAGUGUCGCAGUAAGGGCGUCUUUCACACUCUAUCAAAUAAGCACAGAGGGAUUUGGUGUGUGUAAGGUUGUACCCACUAGUAAGACAAACACCCUUUUUCCACAAAUAUAGAUAAUCACAUCAAGUUGCAUAUAUUUAAACCCCACAUGACAGAGGUGGGUUUGUGCGCAAAGAUCGCAACACAAACAAAUUACAAUAAUGGCAUUAAAAUCGGAACCACCUGUGCAUAAAUGACGCAUCUGUGGCCUGUCUCUUUCUUUCAUUGAUGUUGGCAUAUAAAAUUAACUUGGCUCACGCAACUGAAUAUUAUUAUAUUUGUAUGUAGGCCUGACCCCGGAUUGAAUAUUCACAGAAUUUUAAGGAUGUAAAAACAUUAGAUAAAUGUGUCAUUUUGAAUGAAAGUUUCUUUUAUUUAUUUUUUUGUGCUCAUCAGAAAAGAUAUAGAUCAGAAUAUAUUGAUAUAGAUCUAAAUGUUUGUGCUGACUCAGAUAGUAGCACUGAUUAUUGGUUGUUGUUGUUGAUUAUUUACUGCACUGAAAUGUGCCUGACACUGUGGAAACCUGCCAGUGAGGCAUUGGUGAUGUUUGGGUACUGCUCCACUGGUUUACCAAAAUACUACAAGACCAGCUGCGCUCCACGUGUGCUGACAGUUGACCUGUGUUGUGUCAUAGAACAUAAAAAUAGAGCCCUGUGACAUUGCUAGGACCUCAUUCUUAAGAUGAUGACUUUCACAUGACUCCUGAUAACAAUAUGACUUAAUCUUGAAAUUUUAUGUCUCUCCUAUAAUUUUACCUCUGUAAUAUUUAGCCUUCAUGCGACUUUAUUCUUAUUAGGUUGAUCAUGACUUUAUUUACAUAACAUUAUGACUUGAUUCUCCUACAACUUUGUUGUCAUAACAUGAUUUUUUUGUAUUUAAUGUUGCUGUAAUACUCUUUUAUGCAGCUCAUACAUUAGAGGGUAGAAUAAUGCGCUCUGAGUCACCCUGGGUUUGGUUAGUUGAUGCGUGGGUCUGUCCAUGGUGCUGAAAUGGCUCUCAUGACUUACUACAGUUUCUAAUUGGUGAUUACUAUUUAAUCCACAUUUACAUCUUGGCGUAAUUCAUGUUCAUAGCAAUAGUUAUGCCCAAGUUGAGGUGAUGAUGUGUUUUACAAAACUUAUUUGUUCACAGGCAAAACUGAGCAUCCGUAGGGUAACUGGAAGGUCAAUCAGAGGGCACUUUUUAAAUUUAUAUCCUAAGAGAGAAAUGAGAGAGCACUUUGUCUGGUAAUUCUGGAGCAGGAUGAUUACCAGAACUGAUUUUAACAUGUUUUCAAAGAAAUGCCAUCAGAGAGGGAAUUCAGGUAUUUUUAUUUCACGGAAGGAGCAUCCAUGAGGGCACUGGGGGGUGACCCUCCCACCUCCUCCUGAGUGCACCACUGAAAUUAACCAACUAAAGCACCAAAAUCAGCAGCCAAAACAGACUUUGAAAGGCAGUUUUUUUGUCUUUCUGAGAAAUGUUUGCUGGAAUCUUCAGUGCCAAGCUGUUUUGGGAAAUCACUUAGCCUGAAUGAGAACAGGGAAAUAUCUGCCUCACUUACAUCUUCAGUGGAAACAAAUUAGCUUUGGGCUGAGUGCAGCAGGCUGAGAGCUGGACAAAGGCAAAUAUGUUGGUGUUUAUGGGAUUUAUUGACAAUAACAGAGAUAGAAAAUAUCAUCAGCCUGAGUCUUUUUGCCAGAGCUGGAUGUCUCUGUCAGUAGUUUCAUGGGAGAUGUUUCUUAGCCAUUCAGAUAUCCCACAGAAAUAAGGCAAAAAGAAUAAAUAACCACCAAAUCCAGUGAUACAAGCCCCCUAUCUGCUGACAUGACAGUCUUUGUCUAAUAAAUAAAGAAAUAACUCCUAUUUCAAAGAAUCAAUUUCAGCUCAGAUCCUCAGGGGUUGACAGACUUAAACCAGCAUGUUUGCUCAGCCAAUCAAUGAGUCUGAACCACCAAAGGAAAAGAAGCCACGGUGCUAUUGAUUCUGGAAACCUGUGACACCUUCCACUAUCUGUGGAGACCCUUAAGCACAUCUUGCUGUGAGUCCUGUUCAAAAGAUCCAAAGGCGUAUUCAGCAGAAGCUCAUAUCCUGUCUGUGAUGAUCAAAAGUCAGGUUUCAUGACAAUAAAGCAGCACGAGCACUUCAUAAUCAAAGAGACCUGACGAUAAUGAACCACGCUGCAGCCUUAGUGGGAAAAUAUGCAUUUUCAUAAUUAAAUGUUUCUAUUCCAGCAUCGUCAUAUCUUAUCUGUGGUUUGACUCAUUCAUUACACACUGUAGUAAUGGACUCUAUGUUCAGGGGUGCAGUGUAAUUCCUCAUACAACCCACAGACAAAAAAAACACACACUUAGGCUUAAAACCUUAGGCUAUUUUUACAAAUAUGCUCAAUUUUAUAUGGACACCAUUCUCUGUGUACAUAAUUUGAGUUUCUGAGUAUUGAAAACGACUACCCUAACUCAGAAAAAUAUAACCCGAGGCAUAAUUGGAUGAGAGCAAACAUAUUACUAAGACUUGAUAGUGCCAAUUAACAUUUUGCAAAGACAGUAGUCUCUGGGUGAAGGCGCAUCUGAGUGAAAGAAUCAUUUUCAACAUUCAAACUGAUUUAACUACACAGAAAAUCUACAGCUCCUAUUCUGGAUUUAAAAAAAAGGACUAUGUCUGACCUUAACAACUAAAAAUUACAUUAAAGUUUAACACUGUGGGAUAUCAAUGAUUCUGUAUUAGGCUUGAAUAGAUAAAGAUUUGUAGAUAUAUGGCCUUUUAUUCUCUAUAUGUGUGUAUGAAGUCAAAACCAAGCAAGAUGAAGCUGAAUAUGAUCUGAAAUACUAUCAUAAGACCAUUUAAUUCUCACUUAUGGAUUUUUAUUGAAGUUUACAUUGCUUUCAACCUUUGCUUUCCAGAGGCGAGAGACAGUAGUGAGAUGUGCAGGAUCUUUGCUGUGGUGUUUUGAGUGAUUAAAUCAGUUUUUUUAAGAUAUGCUUAUUUUGUAUUUCAAAAGCUAAAAGUUCAAAAUGUUAAAAUUCAGAUUUAGUUUAGUUUUGUGCACUUUUUUAUCUUCUGCAACACGAUUAAACUGUUUGAAAAUAAAGUGUGAUAUAAAUAAAAUCUGAUGGAGUGUCUUCACUAAUUAUAUCAACUAAAACAGUUCUGUAGCUUUACACUGAUAACUUUUUACCCAGCUUUCUUACUUAUUACUCAGCUGUGCAAACGGCUUGUUUCUGUUCGGUUAAUGCCAUCGAAUUAACCAAUCAUAGACUUUUCUCCACUGCCUGUUCAGACUGUGGCAAAGAUCUAGAAAAGUCAAACAACAUCAUAUCCUGCAAUCCAGGCAACAACAGCACAGCUAGUGAGGGCAUCCCUGACAAAACAGGGCAGAGAUAAUGGCUACAAUGUUUUUUUUCUUUUGUUUUUAUUUUAAUUCAAGUUGUGGUUUUUGCCUCAUCUAUGUAAAGGUGUGUCAAUGAUGAGAUAGAGGCUAAAACAACAUUUAAAGCCUUGUAGAAAACCCAUUCAUGUUUUACAAUUUCGUUUUCAAGUUUAACUGAAUAACAAGAAAUAAUCAACCUACAAAUGUUCCUACAGAUAUCUUAAGUUCAGUUUAAAGGUUAUUGUUUUAGCAGGUUAAUGUUUUAACCUGAUUGUUACCUAAAAUUUUGUUUACUUUUAUACUUGUUUGUACUUCAAAGUCCAUUAGGAGGACGUGGUAAAGACUAUUUACCAUGGACAGACUAUUUUUUGUUGUACAUUUAUCAUUUUUAAUCAAACAAACCAUUUUUAACUGAAGAGUCAGUGUCAAUAUAUUCAUGACCUUAGUCAGCAUAAUUAGCCGUAGAAAACCUAGUCAUAUCUGCGUCUACACCUCACUAUUAUUGUAAUUUCUCUAACUCCUCAUGUCCCCUGUAUUAACGCUCUGUGGGGGAUUCAUUUAUCCAGAGCAUCCUGCUUAAAAAUAUGUACAAGAUUAGGUUUUGGUAUUUACAAGAAUGAUAAAUUAGUUUUUAUCAAAUAGUUUUGUCUUCAACAAAUUUUACCAUCUAAAAGCUCAAAUAAGUGCAUUACUGCAAACAAUCUUUUUGAGCAUACUGAUAUUCGUUUUUUAGAGUUUUUAGAUGUUAAUGACACUGGUUGAAAUUUAAAUUGAAGCCUGUUUAUGAUAAACAAAAGAUCAUCAGUGUCAAGAUCAACUAAUUUUAUUUAAUAAUUUUUCAUACCUGACACUUGUGCAGGUGGAACAGCUUUGUUUUUACAGUUUCCUCUUGACAUAUUUACAACAAAUAGUAAAAUUGAAUGUAAGAAAUUCAAGGUGAUGAAAUUUUAUGUCAGAAAAAAAAACAAUUUAGGUAUAUAAAGAAAAACAAACCAAAAAUUCCUCACAGGAGCUUAAAAUGAGCCAUGAGUACUGUCAAAUGGUUUUAUUCCUUGUGUUCCAGCAUUAUUCAUAUCAUCCUGGUUUAUAUUAAUGCAGAGGAUUAAAGCGUUCACUCAAAGCAUGAUAGAAAUGAAAGAAACAAAGAUCAAAUUGUCAUUAUGUGGACUUGAAGGACCAUUCGUUUGACCUUUCUUGAACUCUUCUGCCCGGCCGUGUGUGCAACACAUAUAGGCAUCUCAAUAGAUGAGUAUCCUUUCGACCUUCAUCGUAAUUGGAGUUCAGCAUCAAGUAAAUGGUGUGAAAAGUUGGUUGUGAUCCUGUCUUAAUGCACAACUGACCACGAUAAGUCACACUGAUUGCAUUUUAAUGCUGUGAGGAAAGAACAACAACCUUAAUGGUCCUGUGUUGGCACAUGGCACUGGACGUUGACAGAGACGGAUAUCACCCGCUGAGGAGACGAGUCAAUCAGAGACACGGCCGCUGCCAAGUACUUGUUGUCGCAUUUUUUGUCUCCGCUGGAAGGGUCAGAGUCAUCGUGCUCUCCACUAAUACAUCCCGUCCCUCACGUCCCCUAAUAGCUCGCACCUUGACCGUGUCGGCUGAUCAGCACCUGUGACUCAUCUACUGCAUAUGCUGCACAAACAGCAGCUGCCUCAUAACAACAUAAUUGCUGCCCUGGACUUUGUAUUUAAAGUGUAAACUAGAACAAUGAGUAUAAUCUCUGCAGUCUCAUCUCACAAAGUGACCUUAAUAGAUCCACCGGGGAUAGGUAUGGCUGUUGAUUGAUACCAAUGAGUCACUGAUUACAUUGACACGUUGUCAUACUGCUGAUUCUCCAACAAAAUUUCAAGACACUGAGACUGAGCAUCUACAAGCUUCAGGAAAAAGUGUUAUUUAUGUUGUAAUUGUCUCUGCAAAUUUGGACUGGGAUUUAGGUUUGAGUUGGACACAUUAAGGGCCUGAUCUACUAAGAUCCCAAAUAGGGAAUGCUAAAUUACGUGUGCAAAUUAAAAAUUGCACAUAUCAUUUUGGGGAACUGCAUAAAAGACAAGCAAGGCAAGUUCAUCUGUAUAGCACCCUUAAUACACAAGGCAACUCAAAGUGCUUUUCAGAUGCAAGAUAUACUAGAAAUUUAAAAAAAAAAGUAGAAUAGAAUAGAAUAGAAUAUUCCUUUAUUGAUCCCCCAUGGGGGAAGUUUUUUGGCACAGCAGCAUCACAGACAAAGAGUGAAAAAAUGCAGUUAUAAAAAUAAAGAUCCUAAGAACUUAAAUAAAUGUAAUAAUUAAGAAAAAAAUUUAGAAAAAGGAAAAAGGGAGAAAAAAAAUAAAACUAUCUACAAUAUACACAAUUUAAAUGCCAGAAAAAAAGUGGUGGUGUGAGUUCAGUUAUUAUUACAGUUUGUUGUAAAGUCUUAUUGCAGAAGGGAAGAAUGACCUGUGGUAGCGCUCUGUCUUGCAGGGUGAGAGUCUAAGUCUGCUGCUGAAGGAGCUGCUUAAAGCCCGCACAGUCUGGUGCAGUGGGUAAGAGGAAUUAAAAAAAAUUAUAAAUCAAUAAGACAUAUAAAUGUUUUUUGUCUGUUCCAUGUUUUACCUUAUUAUUUAUGAAAAUCGUCAUUUACCAUAAAAACGAAAUACAUCACAAGCUUUUGGACAAGGAUCAUGGCGUCUAUCAUGGCACUUCGUAAUGCUGUGCCAGUUUGCUCGUGCCUUUCAAACGUGCGAAAUAUAGACGCAAAACUGCAAUUAGUUUCCAGUUUUGACAAAUCACAUUGUAGGUGCUAAAUGGUUCUAUUUGCAUCUGCUCCUCACCGUAUUUUGCGUGUUCUGAUGAUCUACAUACAUUCUGCAUAUUCAUGAAGGCAAACAUGCUAAAUCAAUUCUGUGUGCUGUUUUUUCUCAUUUGACAGACGCAAUCCUCGUUGCACCUGGCCAGUAGAUCAGGUUUGUGUGCGCUAUCAAGUUUGCAUGUGUUUUUGCACAUGCAGAACUUUAGUAGAAGUUAAAUCCAACAAAACUUUUGAAACCACUUUUUUUUUUUAAUAUAUCAGUGUUCAUUUUUCCAUUUUCAGUUAAAGGUCUGUAUGUUUUUCUACCGAGUGUGAUGCUCGUGCAGCAUACACAGGAUUUUACUGUUUGUUCUUGCCCUGAAGUUUGGUCCAGUUAGUUUUGAAUUUCUUCACUUCUCUACAACUUUUCCAAUCCCUGAGGCCAAAGUCCAGCUCCUGCUUCUCAGCUUGCACAGGUGAAAAUUUUCAGAGGUGACAAAAGGUCACUGUAAACCCGGGGUUCUGACAGUGGUUAGCAGUCAGCUUUCACUCCUGAGCAGAAAAGGACAAAGUUUUGUUCUGUACUGCAGCUCUGCAUGGGCCCUACUGCACAAGUCAUCAGUCACACAGGUGUAGAGCGGAGAGGGUGGGCACAAUCCAGAGCAGGAUUGAGCUGACUGAUGGGUAACUGCAGUAAAGCUGUGCCACUGAGGCGAGCCAUCUAUUAACGUCAGCCCUGCCGAUUGAGCACUGAGUCUGGGUCUGCACGCUGCUGGUUUGGAGCAUUUGAUUUUAAAGCACAGGUGAAGGUUGGACUGAGGACAUGACCCACAUUGCAGCUUGUGUUAAAUGUGCAGAAUUACACCAACAAUAUCAUGAUCACAGCAAGAAGAAACAGAGUGACAGAGAUGCAGACCCAACGUUGUAACGUUCCCAGUCAUUUUUAAAAGUCAAAAACUGUUCGUCCAGGUUUGUGCAUGACUCAGGUGGACUGCAACAGACAUGCAUUAUGGCAGCAUGAGCUGACAAGUCAAUGUGAAGUUACACCAUUCCUUACGUCGCCUGGCAUGUUUUUAUCCUGUUACCUGUAGCCUGCCUGCAUGAUGGAUAAUUACAACUCUUUAAGAAGAAGGCUUAAAUCAACGUAAAGUAACAGAUGGAUUUGGUGUGUGUAAGGUUGGACCCACUAGUAAGACAAACACCCUUUCCACAAAUAAAGACACUCACAUAAAGUUGCACAUAGUCAAACCUCACAUGACAAAGGUGGGUUGUGCCCACAGAUCACAACAUAAAUUCCAAAAAUGGCAUUAAAAUCGGAACCAUCUGUGCGUAAAUGACGCAUUGCGAAAGUGGCCUGGCUCUUUCUUUCAUACAUGUUGGCAUGUAAAAUAAAUUUGGCUCACAAAACUAAUAUUAUAAUAUUCAUAUGUAGGCUUAAAGUAAAUAACUCAUCUGAUCACUGAAAAAAAUCAUCGGUUCAGCCGCCGCGGCAGCAGCUGCAGCAGGACGGGGAGAGGACACAUGUCUAGGAUAAUUACAACUCUUUUAGGAGAAAUAUAGUCUCUGCUCAUCCAUAUACAUAUAUAGACUCUACUUAAGCUAUCUGCCAUCGUGAAGGCAUUGAAGCCUCUGCAUUUUUGCUAUAGUUUGCCAGCUGGGAAAGAAAAAACAAAACCUUUACAAGGUGGUUUGAAUUGGCUCCUGAGUUGAUGGGACAACAGGAGUAAUUUGUAUAGGCAUAUAUGCAAAACCGCCCCCACUCAAGCUUUCAGCUCCCCCAGAUGCUAAUGUGGGUUUGCAUCAGAGUUGCAGAGUCAAGAUUUCGAAGGUUAGAGUUAGGAUGCCGCCUGCUCUGUUAACUGUUGCAAAAAAAGACACAGAUGUCUGUAUUUCUGUCACAGCUCUGGAGAACUGCGGAAAACUGUUGUUGCUUUUUACUUUUCUCCAAAAUUAGUACGUUUACAUGUUUGAAAAGUCAGUUUGUUGCAUAAGUCCAGCUGAAACUGGUCCAAUCAAGACACAUGUAAACACAUUAGUCAGAUUAAAAGCAUAAUUGGACUUUUGCAUCUAAUUAGCAUGAUUGGGGAUCACUGUGGAAACCUACCGGUGAGGCAUCGUGAUGUAUGCCGAUAUGCCGCAGGUCUACCAUAAUACCACUAGAACAGCUGCACUCUGCCUGCACUGAAAGCUGACCAGGUUUGAAUCGGCGAGGUUUCAGCGCACUUUAUACACCACCGGCGAGCACGAAAAUGUCACUGUGGCAGCUGAUUCUGUCGACACCUCCCUCUGCCAUGCCCCCAGCUUGGCAGACCUCGGUGUGCCUCAGUUCACAAAAAUACCAAACUGGCUGUGCGCCAGGCUCCGCCAGACGAACUGCAUCUGCGUGGGGUCCGCCACCCUCCGCCGCCUCACUGGUGGACACGAAAAUAGAGCCCUAUGUUUCAGCAGCCAAUCAGUGCAGAGUCUCAUUUUCACAGCAUCCCUGCCCACUUAGAUUACUGCAGGAAUAAUAGGGUUAGAAACUGAGGGGCUGCACACCCUCCACAGAGGACAAAUGUGUAAUGUUUUAAUGACAGAACUCAAAAUCUUAAUAAAAAAGACAAUUAAUGAACAGGUACCUUAAUGUAAAAGGGGUUCAUUUAAUCCCACUUUAAUCAACACAGCUAUGCAAAUGUAGUCCUAUCCCAGGUGUAUCAGUAAACUUAAGGCUCAAAAUAAUGCUUUAAUAUACAGACUAGCCAAAGCUAUUUAAAAAAGCUGAGAUCUUUGGAUAAGCAGUGAAAACUUACUCCACAGCCAAACUAAUAAUCAACAUUGAAGCUUUGUUGAAUAUGCUCUGUGAUGUCUUCAUGGUCAGAAAUAAUGGCGUGCAUGAAUAUUGGUUAAAAAAAAACAUUGAACCGCUCUCUUUGUCCAUAAUGAUCUGUUGCUCUUUUGUAUGUUUCUUUUAAGGCACCAUGUUUUUCAGCAUUGACUGCAACAUUUUCCCAAUAAGGAUGAGCAGUACUUAACUCACACAAAACAAUCAGAGGCCAUUCAAGGCCAGGAUUCAUGCUUGUCUUAUAGUAAAUCCAUAGUAACCUCAGACAAAGCUGGAGUUUCUGCAAGACGCUCUUCCAGACACAGUUUUACUCUCUGGAUACAGACAUGCAUUAUUGUCUUCUCCAUAAAUAGAUGAUUACAAACUCACUCACACUCGGCUCUACUAUCUGUGAAGCACUCUCAGUGUUGUUGUCAUACUAUCACACAUACACCCAAAUGCCAGAUGAAAUAUUGACCCAUAUGAGAAAGACUGAACCUGCUUACCUGAUUAAAAUCAUUAAAAAUCUCUGAGAUUUGAGCCACAAUUUUUAAGACACACAGAGAUUUGAGCCUCUUCCAAUCCAUUUACCGAACACCCAAGAGUCCCCUCUGUCAGAAGAUUCUGUGGCGUCCUGAUCAAAUGUAAACCGAAGCCCAGACCAGUUCUUCUCUCCAACCACUAAUAAAUUUACAAUACACGCCAAACAACUAAAACUCAAAGUAAAAUGAGGUUUCCUCCUGGCUUUGAACGAACAGUUUCAUUCAUCAGAAUAUCUCUUUAUAUGAAGAUAGAGAGCAGCAACUUCCCAGACUCAAACAGAGAAAAGAGUCUAAGUACGGUUGCUGUAUGACAAGAGAUGAGGUGAAGGGCAGCAACCAUUAGAAUGUGAGCAUAAAAGUAUUACAAUGUCAUUAAAUAAAAGGGGAAAUAGAUUUUCUAUCAUCAAUACUUACUGAUCUAGACUACUGUUCAAAGGAACACCUUCAAUAUAAGGUGUUUACAGUGGUUUUAGCUGCCCAGUUUGUGCCAAUAUUUUAUGAACUAGGUGUACACAUAAUUUAAGGUGACCAGAUUUCUGAUAUAAAAUCAAGGGACAGGGAAUGAAUACUGUUGUUCAGGACUGUGCACCACAUGCUUACUCGCACUUCCUACCUACCGCUACUACCUUAAUAACCUAAUAACUGUUCUAGUCUACAUGCAACAUUUUUUUUCUCAUUUAUGAAAUGCUAACAUAAGGGAAAUUUCCAGGGACAGCUUUAGCCGGGGACAGGUCAUUCAAAAUGGGACUGUCCCCAGAAAUCGCGGAUGUCUGGUUACUCUAACACAACACUAAAUUCGGUUUAGUGGCGAUCAUUUCUCAAUCGGAGGGUUAGAUUCCCAGGCUGCCUUACAUGUUGAAGUGUCCAGCAUGUGGACUCUUGCCCCUACUGGUUACACUUAGUGGUGUGGUGGGUGAAUUUGGUGUGGAUGGGCGUACAUUUCCACCAUAUAGACUGAGAACUUUCAGGUCCACUCACUAAGUGUGGACCUCUGUUUCUGGUCAGGUUCUGGUCUUGUGUGAAGCAAUAGACAAUAAACUUUUCAGAAAGCAUUCUUGUCGUAUUGCUAGAUUAUAUUCAUGAUAUUAAGGAUUAUAACCCUAACCCUCUAAUCAGAAAAUGGGGAGGCAUUAAGAGUAAUAUAGAUUUCCUUGCAAUGUUAACUUUUUCAUCACAUCUGUUGUUUUCACCUCUGACACAACUGAGAAAUCAUCCAUCAUUUGAUUAAAAGAGUACAGGUUAGCCAGUCUGUCACUCUUAGAGUCAGUGAAAGUUAUCACCAACUUCAUAACCGGUCAUGCAGCUCAAAAACCGGGUCAUACUGUCAGUCCAGUUUGCAAAAACAGGUCAAUAAAAAUGAUCAAUUUGUCUUGUUGUAUAUUUCAUCCUAUUAUCUCGUCAAUGACAUUUUCAUUCUUGUUUUUCGUCUACUGACUUCCAUAGUAACCAGUCCCUUGAGAUGAAUUAACUCUUUUUUGUGUGUGCGUGAGAACAAUGGUCUCGGUGUGAGACAAUGGCGUGAUGUGUGAAUGAUUAUAAUGAUGAAUGUGUGUGAGACAGUGUGAUGAUAUAUGUAAGACCAAAUGAGUGUGUCGGGGGGAAAGAAUGACAGCGCAUGUGAAGAGAAAAUAAUUGCGUGUUUGACGGAGUAGGACUAUCUAAGUGAGAGACAAUGACUGUGUGUUUGAGAAAUUAUGAUGGUUAAUGCGAGAGGGGGUUGCAUUGUGUGUGAGAGGCUAUAAUUAAAAAGGAAGCUUGUUCAGCCAGACAAGCAGACAGCUUAAAUCUCUUUGCUUUCAUUUACUCAAAGACUUAAAAACAAUGCCUUUACACCUGAGCACCACCAGCUGAAUUGGAGAUACAUUUGCAUGAUCAGUGGAAGUGACAAAAUGUUUAAUUCAAGACAAGCUAAACUGGCCGCUCUCUCUAAUCUGCUGUUUGCUCCCUCUUUUUGGUGCUUUUGAGACAUUGAAGAAAUACUAGCAUGCUUCGGUACUGUCAGGGGUUUGCUCUUUGGAUACUGACAGCUAUAUGGAAUUGGCCCGAUGACCUUCAGGAAUGUCUGGUGAGGUUUUGACUCACAUUGUUGAUGAGAUAUCCUUUGAAGAAGCCCUAAAGCAGGUGAAAGGCAUGUUUUAUUUAGCCUUCCUUCCUGUAGUGCAAGAAUAUAUUGUUGGCCAUGAGACAGUGCAGCUUGACUUUACUCUACAGUGAUGCAUCCUGCAGCUUGGACAGAAGAAUAUAUGCUCAAACAUCUGCUUUAAUUAAAAGCCAUCGGAUCGUUUGCCCGUAGUUGUUGGUAGUGUUGUGGCAGAGUCAGAAAACCUAAAGUCUGAGUCUUGAGUCCUGGAUGUUGAAGUGUAAGUUGAGUCCACAGAGAAAUUUGUGCAAAUUUUAAGUCGAGUCCUGUCCCAGUGUCCAAGUUUGAGUGAAAUCAUGAACAUUUUUUAUUUUUAAAAGGAAGGUAUUUCAGCACAUUCUGUCGUAGUGCCCACUUUAUUUUGGACGUUUGAGUGUGAUAAUGCUUAUUUAUACCCAAUAAUUAGUAAAAAUACAAUAAGGCUGAUAUAGACACAGAGAUAAGUGUAAAUAGCUGAAGACUUAAAGGAGACCUGCCAUCAAAAUUUCAUACCCAUUUUUAUCAUUUUUUCAUAAUCCUUGAUUUCAAAAACACAGGACAUGAUGUUAAAAGAUCCAAAGUGCCUGGGGACUCUGCAUGGCAGGGGCAUCCUACUCCCUGAGCCAGGUUUGCACCUGACCGCAUACCUACACACUUGAAGACUUGAGCAUUGAGAUGUUGAGACAGCUGGACAGACACUUCACAGGGGUUAUCAAGUGGGUUCCUACUUUCACCAACGUUUCGCUGAUUUAACCCCACGACGUCUCCAGUAGGCUCAGCAGUGUAAUCUGGCAUCCCAGAAACACCCCCCUCUGCAUCUGCCCAACCAGUUUAUUUGGGAGACCAGCUAGGGUCUUUCCUUUUCAGCCAAAGCCACUGGCUACACCGCUCUGCCACUCUGGAUAGAUCCUUGAUGGCCUGGCAUAGGACUUGCCCACUGAUUCCCAGGUCCUUCAUCAGCCUCACAGUCGACGUUGCCACAAACCCCCGACAUCCAACUUCUGCUGGGCAGACCUUUGCACUCCAGCCCCUCUGUUCUGCUUCUGCUGCGAGAUCUGAAUAACGCAGUUUCUUUCGUUCAAAGGGUUCCUCUACCGCAUCCUCCCAAGGGACGGUGAGCUCCACAAAGUACACUCUGCGCUGUGAGUUGGACCACAGGACUAGGUCAGGCCUUAGGUUGGUGAUGACUAUCUCUGGUGGAACUAGGAGCUGUGUUCCCACGUCCACCAGCAUCUGCCAGUCUCUGGCUGCCUCCAGUUCGCCCAUUCUGGCCUUUGGUGGAAACUUCCUCUGUCCUUGUUUCCCUUCUCGAACAAACGCAAUCGAGUUGGCCGAGUUGGUUACUCUGGGCGGCAAGGCAUUGAUGGUGGUUCUUCUGCUUUCCAGACUUGCGGCCAGGCACUUAAGAACUUGGUUAUGUCUCCAAGUGUACCGCCACUUUACACCCAACAAGGAUGUGUCUGAGUGUAGCUCGUGUUGAACACGGGGGCAUGAUGGAUCUUCACCCACCCAUUGGUUGAGAUUUGUAGGUAGGAAGAACGUCAUAAGUGGAUCGGAUGAGAAAACUUAUCCUACUUGCCUCCAUCUCCCACAUGUCCUUCCAGCUGAUGGUUCGUUUCUCCACACUCUCCCAUCUCAUCCACUGGCCCUGUUUUACCUGUGACACCGCCUUGGCACACCUGUUUGACUCCUCCUGUCGGCGGACUUCGGCCACAACCAUCUUCCGACGCUCCCGAGAGGCUGCCUUGUUCCAGCACGGACGCUUUUCACCCAGUCCCAAGCCACCUCUUCCAUGUUGGACUUGGCCCACGAUGUCACUGUGGUGGAGAGCAGAUUUUGCCUGCUGUACUGCGUUCUUAGCCGUCCACUUCCUUCCUGAUGCCACAGUUGGAGCAGCAGCUCGGAUGACAGUGUCUUUUGAUUCUGCCAGGGUCAUCUCUAGUCUCACUUUUGUACAUUUGAACUCCUCUGUGAGGCUAGAGAGGGGCAGCUGGAGUAGCCCUUGACCAUAGAGGGCUACACUGCUGAGGCAUCGAGGGACCCCUAACCACUUUCUCACAUGAGAGCUUAUCAUCCUCUCCAUUUUCUCAACCCUUGUGAGCGUGAGACCAUUCAUGGUUAGUGGCCACAUGAGGCGAGGCAGUAAUCCGAACUGUAAGCACCAGAUUUUCAGCUUGCCGAGCAACAUGGAUUUGUCGAUGACCUUCAGACCUUUGAUGAGUUCCUGCCUGAGUUUGUGCGCCUGGUCAGAGUUCUUUAGCUUUGAAUUGUACCAUCUUCCCAGGCUUUUGAUUGGCUUUUCCGCGACCGUUGGGAUAGGUUCUUCAUCGAUGAAGAACCUUUGCUCCGUCAGUUUGCCUUUAACUAUGGAGAUGCUUCUUGAUUUGGAUGGCUUGAAUUUCAUUCUGGCCCCAGUGAUGUUCUCUUGACGCUUCCCUAGAAGGCGCCUGGUACACGGUAUUGUUGACGUCAUGGUUGUCAUGUCGUCCAUGUAGGCCCUGAUGGGCGGCAGCUGGAUUCCAGAUGCCAAGCGCUCACCGCCCACCACCCACUUGGAGGCUCUUAUAAUGACUUCCAUCGCCAUGGUGAAUGCCAAUGGGGAGAUGGUGCACCCUGCCAUUAUGCCAAUCUCCAUGCGGUGCCAUGUGGUGGUAAAGUCUGGCGUGGUGAAGCAGAGCUGAAGAUCUUGAAAGUAGGACUUGAUAAGGUGCUUGAUGGUCUCAGGUAUCUGAAAGAAGUCAAAAGAAGCCCAGAGGAAACUGUGAGGGACGGAUCCAAACGCAUUGGCAAGGUCAAGAAAUACAACAUGGAGAUCCCUCUUCUCCUUCUUAGCAGUCUGAAUUUGGUGCCAAAUCAUGCCGGUGUGUUCAAGACAUCCAGAGAACCCUGAAAUGCCUGCUUUUUGGACUGCCAUAUCCACAAGGUUGUUUCUCUCCAGAUAGCUGGACACCCUCUGAGCUAUGACGCUGAAGAAAAUCUUACCCUCCACAUUAAGCAGACUGAUUGGGCGGAAUUGGCUGAUAUCUGUAGAUUCCUUCUCUUUUGGAAUUAGGACUCCUCCUGAUUGGCGCCAUGCUUUGGGUACAAUUCCCUUUUCCCAGGCCACUCUCAUCAGUUUCCACAGAAAACAAAGAACAUCUGGAGCAUUUUUGUAAAGUCUGUACAGAACUCCAUUUGGCCCAGGGGGUUAUGAAGCUCUCGCCCGCUUGUUCCACCUCCCUCCACUUGGGAGGAUUAGUGUCCAUUUGAUGUUCGGGUUCCUCGAUUGGUGGAAUGUCAGAUGGAAUAGCUACCUGCUCGUGCUUCCUGUCAUCUGCACACAUUCUUUCCAGAAAUGUUUCCAGCUCUUGGCUUGAUGUUGUCAGGUUUCCUCCCUUCUCUUUGGUGAAGAGUGUUUUCACGAACUUGAAGGGGUCCUUGAAAAAACGGGAUCUUGCUCGUUCUCUCUUUUUCCGGGACUUUCGCAGGUUCUCUGCUCGUCUCAGAGUGGUUAGCCGGCUUUUGAUGUUUUCCUGUAGAAUGUUGAUGCCCUCCUUCUCAAGAUCAGAAGCCUUCCUCCACUGCUUCUUGAGCUGCCUUCUCUCCCGGAUCAGUCGGUCGAUCUCCUGCUGUCGUCUGGAUUUGCUCUCUAAUGCUGGUGCCCUUCCCUGCUUGUUCCUUACUCCAUACCGUUCCGCUCCAUAUGAGUAGAUGAUGUCUCCCAUCUUGUCAAGCUUUCGUUCGACUGUGCCGCUCAUGGUUUGUAGGACGCUGGUCAGGUCCCUGUUUAUUGUCUCCCAUUCUUUCUUCUCCGAGGCUCCAGGCCAUUUCACCCGGGGUUUGUUUCCACUGAUCUUUUUCUCCAUUGCUGGUUUUGGCUGGAUGGGCUCCAUACAUUCCUCUGCUGCCUCGUCCAAUGUGCUUGAGUGUCCUUCUUCAGGAGGACUGAUGUCCUGCGAACUUUGGUGAGAUUCCGGUCGCUGAACUUCAUUCGACUGACUUGAUUGACUUCUCAAGAAGUACGUAUCAAUGCGAGGUUCCUGUUUUCCUUCUUUCAAGCACUUUUUUCUCCCUUGAUGUAUUUUCAGGCCCAGUGACGAAGUCACACUUGAUGUCCUCUGAUCAUGUUUGCAACAUAAUUUUAGCUGAAAAGUUAUUUGAUGGUUUGCUUUAGUAUGCCUAAAAAGCCUUACAGGAAAACCAACUGAUUUUGGCUCAUUAACAUUUAUGGUAAUGAGCUUUGCUCUGAUUAGAUCGCUGCUGUGAAGCCUGCUGUGCUCUGAUUGGCUCAGCAGUGGAGGUUCGGAUUUCGGUUUAUCCAUUUUGCUAAUGUGUGCUAAAGUAAGGUGCCCAGAUGUCUGUAAUGAUAUCCGGGGAUAUCCGGUGCGGCAGCUUUUGCAGGGGACAGGUCAUCAAAUACUGGGACUGUCCCCGGAAAUCGGGGACGUCUGGUCACCUUAUGCUAAAGGCUAAAAAUGGCAGGUAUUAAACCAUAUAUUUUAGACCCCGAGUCCGAAGAGGAGGUGGAAGUUGAGGAAGAAGCCGGAGAGCUCCAGCUGUGUUUUCUCAUUCAUUCUGUCCAGCUUUAAGUUCAUUUUCCCAGCAGUGAACCCAAGGAAACACCGGUCGUUUGGAAGAGACCCAUAGCAGAUACAGUGGUAGCUGGAUCUCGCUCUGGUUGGAGAGUGAUGUUGACUGUGAAUGAGUACGAGAAUGAGAGAGUGGGCGCGGCUCACCGAGGACGCGCUCAUCAAUAAUAAUGAGCAAGGUCAGCGCGACGUCAGAGGGACCUGCUUUUUCAAUUGGCCUGGUUUAACCGUUCCUUUAUUUUAAGCCUUUACAGAAUGCAAACGACGUAACAGUUUGUUUUCACAUUUACAACUUAAGACGAACAUAAUAUGGACCUUAUCUGACACAAAAAACACAAAAAAUUACAUUUUGAUGGCAGGUCCCCUUUAAAGGUGGGGUAGGCAGGUUCUGAGGAAGUGCCAGUUUUUGGGAGAAAUCUUGAAUGUAAACACUACCCCUCUCAACCAGUUUUCCCCUCAGCUCCUCCUCUCCCCUCCCUCUCUGCUCCAGUAAGCCCCAUCCACAAACAGACACUUCUGCUCGCUCAUAUUGUUUCAAUUAAAUUCAGAUAUAAUACAGAUAGAUACUUCAGAUAAAUACAAAUGGGGCCCAGUCAAGGUGAAAGUAAAAAGCACUGGUGCUACUGUAGAUGCCAACAGACUACCAGCAACACAAUGUUUGCAGGACUUCUAAAACUAGCGUAAAGUGACAUAGUCCAGGACCUGAGGUCAACAGUUUAGCGGCGCUAUAGCACGCAGCAGGUCCCAUUUGACAAGAAACACUUCUGUUACAGACACUUGGCUUACUUUGUUAAAGUGGUUUACCUGUCCAGCAGAAAGGUUACAGGGUCCAUAAGAUCCCAAAGCGUCCCCCAUGUUUAUACUGAUGUUGACCUGGCUUCUUAGCUCUUGUCCAGUCUACCUCUUUUUUGAGCUUAUUAUUUCACCAGAGUCUGUGGUAUUUACUUCGUUUUCUUGCUUGUGUUGGCAGUCAUGGCCAAAGGAGGAUUCAGACAAUUUUCCAUACUUUCUGGUUGGUUUCUAUUGUUUAUUUGUCUGGGCUCGUGACCAUUAUUCAGCGUGCAUCACAACAUGAGGGAGCAGAGUCUGCCUCACAACCAAUCAGGUUGGAGGCAGAGAAUGGCUUUGUUAAUAGUCAGAAAGAGCAGGCAGCUCAAAAAUUGUUAAAAGUUGACUACACAGACAUGACAAAACAUAAUGAUAUCAUUAUAUUACCAAAUGCCAUUAAUACUACUAGCUAUUGACUGAUAUUAAAAGCUUUUUUUGUGGAUACACCACAAAAAAAGAUGCUUCUUUAAUGGAAUCCUGCCUACCCCACCUUUGAUGAACUAUUAAAAUUGUUGCUUACAUCACUGGUACACAAGAGCAUUAAGCCUUUUGUGCCUGGAGUUAGUGAAUAAGACCUGACUGAGAAGAUAUGGUAUAAAAGCCUGCCUCAUAUAAAGGCCUGGUACCUUUGGCAGUAAAAACAAAAGACCUGGCCCAUAUUUAAAGAGUUACAGUAAUUGUGUAGAAGUGGGGUUAAUGCAAGCAUCUUAUAAACUUGGAAAUAUCAGUGAACCAUCUGCUGUCACCCUUCAAAGCCAGGCUCUUCUGAAUGAGUGUGUGUGUAGUUCCUAUGGCUUUUGCAGACAGCCUCAAAUGAACACAAGAAGAACUGCAGUUUUUAGCACAUCCUUGUUGGUUUUAUAUUUGUAAGGAUGCCUAGCCCAUGUUCACACUUUAAAAAAAUGGAAGGUCCACACAAAUGAUCAUUUUGACAAGCUUUACUGGUUGCAGCUCUCGGUUUCAGCUUCACCAUGCCACAAGUGUAACACAAGUGUCACAAAGUGUAACAAUAGUGUACCACAAGUGUAACAAAGAUUGGUCUGAGACCAUUCAGGUUUAUGUAGUCGUCCACGUUUCCAAACAUUCUGCUUGCAUCUUGUUGACCUAAAAGAGAGUCCAUGUAGGGUAAUAACAAAGCAUAACAUAUUUUUGGAGCCUGAGUGAUGUUAAACAUGGGUACAAGGUCCUUGUUGAGGAUAGUUGUCGAAGGCCCAUGGCUCCAGAAAUCUAGCACCAAAGUAUCCAAGGUAUUUAUGUGACACAGCACCAGCACCCUAAAGGUUGACAUGACUGGCUAAAGAAAAUCCCCCAAAAUAUAUUUCAACACUGGGGGCUGCUGCUUGGGUUAAAUAAACUUUUAAUGGAAAAUGCUGCUUAAACUGUGCUUAUUCUCUGUGAAAAAUUUGGUUGUUACAGUUUUUUUAAAUACAGACAAGAAGCAGAAAGGUGAGAGGCAGAAAAAAAUACAAUAUAGAACUGUAAAUAUGUUAAAAUAAAGAUAUUCUUAGAGAUUAAAAUCCUAAGAAGUUGGUUGUUUUGCUGCUUAAGUAAAAGUGACAAAAUGGUUUAUGUUUUCCUUCUGGUAGUCUAACAAAAAACAGCUCAGACUUCUUGUUAUAUCUUUUUGUACAGUCAGAGCGUUUCCCAUUUCAAAAGUCUUUCUGUGUUUUUGUCAGCACUCAGGCUUAAUGCCGCCACUCAGUUCGUGCAGUCUGCCAGUCAGUGCGUGUAACACUGAUGACUUGUGCCGACAAUGGUAUCACUUGCACAACCUCUGGAAAAUAUUGUGGAGAUUUUGAAGCUUCAAUUUGACAAACAGCAGUAAAACAGAAACAUUUCUUGCAUUGAUCAUACGAGAUGCUUCACCAAACAUUAGACUUGGUGGUUAAAACUCUGUACUAUGCCUGUUAAUAUGAUGCACCCAGGAUUACUCAGACUCAUUAAUCCUAUUCCUCAUGCUGUCUCUGCCAAUUUGACUUCUUUGAUAAACAGGCGUUUUAUCUUUUACUAUUCAGCGUGACGCAAACACUGCUCUACGACGACUUUCUGAUGUGGAGAUGGUGAAGUUUUGGCCUAAAAAGGAGGGCAAGAAUAAAAAGCUAAUUAAAUGAAGAAUCUCCCAAUCUUAUAGAGGAUAUAGAUAAGAAACUCUGAGAGUUCACACUGAGCUCCGUCCAGAUAACAGAAUGAUUUCCUGUAGAGUCUUGCCAUGUUUCAAACUGUUGUUUCAUAUCUUCCAUCUGAUUGGCUUGACCAGUUCAGUCCAUUGAAAAGUUAAAUGAUUGCCCAGACUAUUGAAUUAUAGCUCUUGAAGAGAUGACAGAUUCACAAUAAUGGAUGUCUACCCCCGAAAUGUAAGUGCAGUCUAUAGGAAUCUGGCAGGAAACCACCAAAACCAAGUCUGUGUGUAAUGGCCCAGCUAGUGUCCAAAUCCAGAUCUAAAAGAAAAAACAGCAUUAAUAGAAAUGGAUGGUGUGCGACCUGUGACCAAACAAGGGCAGAGUAAAUGGGAAUCUUUGAGAAAUCGAUGAAUCGGGACCCAAACUGCAGCACUUACAAGAACUAUUCAAGUUCAGUUCCCCGUCCCAGUUUUCAAACAUCAUUCAGCUCAAAACUUUGGACACGUCUUGUGAGAACCAUCCAGUAAGAACGAUCCAUUUACAGUCCGAAACAGAACCGGGCAUGUUUAUCGUUGUGCUGCAUCACCUCUUCUUUUAACAUCACUCUGUAAAAGUUUGGGAACUGGGGAGGCCAGAGCAAUGUUUGCCUGAUAAAGGAUUUCAGCUGCUCAGUUUUGUCAUAUUUUUGUUGUUUUAUGAUGCAACAAAUAUUUCAGUGAGUCUGGGCUGCAAGAGGGGUAUUUUAACACCAGAACCCUUCUACUUAGGAGUCACACUGUUGUAAGAUUGUGCAGAUUGCAGUUUGUCACUGUCUUACUAAACUUUACAGUCUUUCCUGGAAAAUGCAUCAAAUGUUCUGCUAUAAUAUCUGAGUUUAAUGUGCAGCAUUAAUGGACUGUGUGCUGAUAACAAGCCAGGUAGUCCCUCCCAAAAUCAAAAUCAAAUUUUGAUUCAUUGGAUUUCAGGACCUUUCUCAGAUUGACCUUAGUCCAGAGACGCUCCAACAUUUAUUAAUCAUGUAAAUACAUGUUUUCUUGAGACCAUUCAGUGAUUUCCGCUGCAGAGUUAUGUCUGCUUUUAAAGAAGGCAUUAAAAUCAUAGCUAUACAGUCCUGACUUUGGGCCUGGUCUCUUUUAUGCAGGGAUUUCCCCAACUUUCUCAAUCUUCUAAUACUUUCCUUACUCUUGACUAUAAUAUCCUCAUCUUUUUCACAACUUCAGGCUGGAGAACAGAAGACUGAAACUCAUACAGUUUAUCAGAGAACAGUGAAUCACUUCCUGUCUUUACUUCUGGGAGACUCAGCCUCCCUUGAUUAGCCUUUUUUGGUACCCAGUUACAGUAUGUUCCUAACCAGUUGCAAUACAACCUGAGAAAUGUUCCUCCAGGAUUUUUAUUUUUUUAUGACAUCACACAACUUAACACAGCCACACACUGUAAGAUAUUGAUGUUAAGAUGAUCAGCUGAAAGACAAAAACAGGGAAAUAUAUUAAGAUUUCACUUUCCACGAAAAAAAAAAUAUAUAUAUAUAUAAAUGAGCGUUUCUUUUUCUUUUUAAAUCUUUUAUAAGGCAGCAGCAGAAAAAUAAGCCUAAAAUCAAAUUCCUUGACAGCUACAGUACAUACAGUAUGUCUCAUGUUUGCCUGUUUCCUCCCUGUUUGUUUUACACACCUUUAUAAAUUGAGAAAAGAUUGUGUAACGCCGGCAUUGUUAUGGUAGUCAAGGACAACAUGCUGCAUUAAUUCACAGACCCAGCAUGUUUGAAGUACCUGCAUCUUUAAUUCACUGCACACGGCCAGUGUCAUACCUGUAACAGAACCACGGAGCAUGCUGAGAACCUGGCUGUUGUACCAGUGUUAUGAUAAGUCACAAAGGAUGCCAAUUACUCUGUUGCUGCUUCUGUUGGAUCUACAAUAACUGCCCUCAUUUAACAGUGCUGUAUUAAAUUGCACACUCACACAAGCCCCUCAAGGCUGGCUAUUAUGUCAAAGAUAAUGUAAGGUGGAUCGUACCAGACAGGUCCUGACAGGAUGUUAUUCAGCUGUAGAGACCUUUUCCCUGAUCAGACUUUGAUAGUUAGGCUCGGGCUGCUCUCAUUACUGUGCUCACUUAUGUGCUUACUAAAUCAAUCAAUGGAUCAAUCAAUCAAUCAAUCUUUAUUCAUACAGUAUAGCCCCAAUUCACAAUUGCUUCACGAAAAAACUUGGUCUAGACCACACUGUACCUACAAAGACCCCACCUAUGGAUGGGAUAAGGCUGAGCCAUCCCAUCCCAAACUAUUUAGAAAGUUACAGUGGAGAGGAAGAACUUCCUUUAACAGGCAGAAACUUUGAGCAGAACCAGACUCAUGUUAGACAGUAAUCUGCCAAGACUGAUCAAGAUAGCUUGUUAUUUCUUAGAUUUUAUUUAUUCAAGUUCAUUAAACCAAAACACUGAUGGUGAAUUUAAAGACCCCUUCCUUGGCAGUAGACCAGUGGAGUCUCUUUGAUGAACCUAGCUUGUAGCAGAAGUCUUUCGUAUUGACUGAUCUCCUUUCAGUAGAUGGUUAUGACUGGCGGCGGCCCACCAGAGUCUUUGCAUUUUUGGCAAUGGUCUCUGACAGCUGUUUGCUAUUUAGACAAAUCAGAUUGUAAUUGAGCAAUCAGGGCGGAUUAAUCAACAAUGUGGAGUGAUAAAGAGUGGUUUAAUCCAUCAUGAUGAAGAUCGUGAUUGAAGGCCGGCAGUGCACUUGUCUUUUUGGCGGAUUGAGUUUUCAAUCAGUCUUGGAACUUUUGCUUAAAGCUCGAGUGAGGAACUUUUACUUUGUGUGAACUUUGUCUCACCAGAAUCCCAUCCUUCUGUGGAAAUAAUCAUUUGAGAUAUCUAUUUGUAGAGAUAAAUUUAAGCUAAACUGUUGUCAUGAUAGCCAGGAUUGUUUUACAGUUGAUGCAUGUUUUUGCUUUCCUCAUAAAUCCUGAAACAAUACGACUUCCACAUCCGAGGCGUCAUGGCCAACCAAGUCUCUAUUCAUGGAGUUCACUGAGGUUAGCCAACUUCUUGGAUCACACAAAAAUGCUAUGAUGAUGUGUUGUUGGUUCCCCUCUAAGGUCAAGAGCUCGGUCUGAUUGGCAGUUGUACUUCUGCAGGCUUAAAACUGAGCAGAAAGUGCUGCUUCACAUUAUUUUUAAAUAGCUUCCUGGAACUGGAAGAAUGCUUGAUAGCCCUUAAAAAAAGCUGCUUUUAGUAUCAGCUCUGCACAUAAAUCUGAAUUACAGUUUGUCACAGGGAAAUGCAUGCGAUGCCAGAGACACCUUAGUAAGUAUUAUUUACGUUAUAGUGCCUUGUUAGACUUGUGGAUGAAAACAUAGAGGCAUUAAUGGAGUAGGAGGUGAACUGAGACUGGGGCUGGACUGGACUGUUGUGAACCGUCAGCAUUUGUAUUGCUUAGAGGGAAAAUGCCAGUGGGGAGGAAAAAAAGCAAAUAUGGCUGAAAAAUAUAAGACAUUGUUUAUUGAAUGACUUCUUUUCUUCGUUUCCACCCUGCCUUACAAACCCAGGCGUGCACAGGAGGAGAACUGUGGGUUUUAUUUUUGAGAUGCUUUCCCAAGGGAGGUAGAGGAGGCAGCUGAGAGGACUGAGGGAAAAUGAAAAAUGCUAACUUCUAUGAGCUUUAUGAGAUUUUUUUUCCACUCCAGUCAAAAAAUAAAUAAAUGAAUAAUGGGAGCUUGAGAGUCCUUGUGAGUUAAGGUUUGGAGAAAAGAUAACAAAGGUCAGGGCCAAACUACCUCUUCUGGUUAUUUGAGUUAUCAUCUUCAAUGUACUCUGAAUUUUCUUCUAUUUUUGAAUAUGAUACAUGCAUCAACAAUAAAACCUUUAAAGCUGAAUUGCUGUGGCCUUCUUGCUCAGGGUAGUAUUGUGUUCAGCCCAGGACACAAAUGCAGGGCCGCCCUGUGCUUCUGUUGGGCCCUGGAUAAAAUUGUAAAGAACACAUAUAAAGUUUGUGGAGGUGGUUGAGGAGAGAGCUCAGCUUGCCAGCCUUGAUGACCUCUGGAGGGUUGCCAUCGCUUCCUGGAGCUUUACCACAGGCUAGGGUGUCGAUGGCCUUCCUGAGCUCAUCUAUAGAGGGUGGAAAGUCAAGCUCUUCCAUGACAGGCAAGGAGACAAGACUUUCCUGAGACUAAACUCCAAAUAACUAUUGUGGUAUUAUCCAUCUGACACCUUAUCUGACUCCUCUCUAUAUGAAGUAGCAACAGCUCUACUCUGAGCCCCUCCUGGAUGACCGAACUUCUCACUCUAUCUCUGAGGGGGAGCCAGGCAACCCUGUGAAGGCAACUCAUUUCAGUGGCUUGUACCAUGAUUUUGUGCUUUUGGUCACUACUACAGCUCAUGACCAUAGUUAAGGGUAGGGACCUAGACAGACCGGUAAGAAAAUUCUUCUGAAUAACAUUGUAAUUUUUAACAAAAGUUACAAUGUUAUUCAGAUGAAUUUUCUUACCGAAGCGAUGUACAUAUGAAUCACACACACCAGUGGAGGACACAUACUGGGGGCAAGGAGAGUUAAGUUUCUUGCCCAAGGACACAACAGACAGACUAGAGAUAGUGGGGAAUUGAACCACCAACCUCCCAGUUAUUGUACGACCGCUUAACCUCCUAAGCUUCUGGAGUGAAGUGAAGAAUACUUGGGUUAACUGUGACGAGAUGCGAAAACUGGACAAAGGGAAUUAUCAAAAAUACUUCAUAUCAUGAGUUUAGUUGUGAAUGGAUGUUUGUCAUUAACCUCUCAUCAGAAACUAGGGAGGCAUCAAGAGGAGCAGAGAAUCUUUUAGUAACAUUACCUGUUUUGGCAAACUGCUUUUUGUUGUUGUUGUUGUCCUCCUUUGCGGGAUUGUAAGAUAUUGGCAGUGGAGGACAUUUACGCCCUUAGUUUGCCUUAAAAACACACAUCUUGUCACAGUCAAACAGUCCCACAUUAUCUCUUACUGUCAUUAUGAAUAAACCCACAUCAACUUGAUGGUCAAUGAUCCAGUCAAGCCACACUCAUGAGAAACACCAUACUGUAUACACCGAAAGGGUCUACAGAUAAUUUUCCAACAUAUCCCCCUCCAAGGUUUACGUUUUUAUUACUUUCCAUUUUUUUAAAAACAAUUGUUUUGACUUUUUGUUUUCAAUUUAAGUAAUGCUAAAUAUUUAGUUUUAGUCAGAUUUUUUAAGUUUUAAUGCUAGUUUUAGUUUGUAAUACAGAAUAUCUAUAGGGGAUAAGACUCAAAAAGACCUCAAAAUAUAUUGUGUAUAAAAAAAAUUCAAUACAUGAUACUAUUCAAAAGUUUUUGUAUUCUAAAAGUCUGACGAAUGCAAUAACUCUGUUUUUCUGAGUGUGUGGGUUGGGCCGUCAGGGUCAAGGACAUCUCUGUGUUUUUAUUCUGGAUAGUUUUGUAAACAUAUAUUACAGUUUGAGCUUGGAUACUCUUGAAUUCUGCACCACAGGUGGGUCCUUCACUCUUUCAGGGUCCAAGGCGGUGAGCUGUACGACCUCAUAAACAGGCUGGCUAAGCUCACAUGUAUCGUUUAGCAUCUCAUUCCCCUCUGAUAUGCCAUCUUGCAAGAACCAUAAGAUUCAUGAACUGACUAAAACAAAGAUCUGAGUGUCUACCUCUGGAGGUCUUUGGUGGGUUUUUCUCUGAUUUCCAUCUCGGUGUCAAAAACUCUUUGCUUAAUUGUUUUGAUCAAAGAAGUUUCUAAUUGAAUGUACAGAAAAUUCCAUCUGAAAAAGGCAUUUUGAUUAUCCUGCAGUGGCCUGUAUAAUUCAAGGUCUUCAAAACCUAAAUGGAUUUUCUGACCGGCUCCUCCAACCUGUUUUAUUCAGAGUAUCUCAAGAGAGAAAUGGAAAAAAUAAUUGAGAAGAGAAGAAAACAGUGAAGUUGAGCUCACUGAUUAAUUCUCCCCUGCUGUGAGUCUGUCUGUACGCCACAGUGUGCUCUGAAAUACAGCUCAAACUAUACAUCCCAGUUUAUCGUGAGACUUCUUUAUAAGGAAGUGAAACCUUCAAGUUAGAGAGAAAAAUGACAUGUUUUUCUUGGAUGUUUGUGGCUCAUUACACUUAAGCCUGGGGACAGUAAUCUAUGAGAUUACAAAUAAGUGGGCUCUACUGCUGGAAGGCAGGAUCUGUGCAUUUUUGCGUGGGGAGAGGGAAUUUGGCAGGCUGCUGUCAAGCCAGUGGAUCAAAGUCCUUUUCCCACUGCAGUGGCUCAUCACAACAACAGAGAGAGGGAGAGAGAAAGAGAGAGAGGGAGAGAGAGAGAUCUUGGAGGAAGAAAGCUUACGCCACUCAUGGUUGGCUUAGUGUGCACACUUGCUUCACAUUUUAGAUCCAAGCCCAUACUGAGCAGAGCUCAAUAAAGCACUCAAGUCAGCAGGGGAGACUAGAUGUGCUGUCAGUGUCGGUACAUCCAAAUGGCUUGUGACAGUGACACACCAGUGAGUACAGAAGCAGUGCCUUCAUGCUAAAUAUGAAAAGGAUGUCAACAUUUGGAAAGAUGGCGGCUCCAAAAAUCUGAACCCAGGUUGAAAGAUUUAUUGCAUGAAGGAAAUCUUGAUAGACUACACUGUUGCUAGGAUUCUCCUACUUUUAUAUUUAAUCCCAUUCAUUAUUCAGCAGUUAACUAAGACAUUAACCUUGGUAACAGUAAGUCCCAAUCUAAAACAAAGGUCAUGUGUGGUGUGAGAGAGGCCAGUGAAGGGUUCCCUCUAUCUGCUGCAACCCACACCAUUAAAACAAUCACACUCAAAUCACUGAGCUUGUUAACAAUAAGACCACAAACUGCACCACAUCCUCAUAAAAUCCUCCUUUCACCUGUUGGCGGGCCUGGACCCAUGUGCCUUGCAGUCUUCCAUCCAGACCAGAAGACGUAGACCCGUCCUUCAUCAGAGAAACAAGCAUUUUGCUUUCCUGUAAAAUAGAAGUCCUAGCUGCCCAUUCUUGAUGUUCAGCUAAAUGCUUUCUUUGUCUCAUUGAUUAGCCUCUUUUGUUGUCUGACUAGUCAGCAGGCUGCUUAAGGGAACAGCCGUUCAAUCUCUGUCCGAGGUCUUUGUCGUCCUGAGCAGAACCGGACCUCAGCUCACCUGUAGAUUAGCAGAAAAGUCAGGUUGGGUUCCAUUUCAGUUUUAAUAUUCUAGUAAUUAUUCUAAUCUACAGUACAUUUGGAGAGGAACAAAACAAAUACCUGGUUCUCACCAACAGGGUUAGCUGUUGCAAAGACUGAAUUAUAUAUAAUAGGAUACCAACUCUGUGGCCGCAGCAGCAACCAGCUCCGUGCGAAGGAUUCACAAAGUGCUGCAUAAAAGGGUCUAGAGCACCUGGCUGCAGACUCAGUGGAUUAAAACAAACACUCUUACAGUGGGUAGUGAUUUAAUCACAUAUGAUUGUCUGCUUUGAAUGCAUGGUUACGACAUUAAUAGGGAAAAUGACAUCUGAGACAUCCGAGCGGGGGUCUAUCUUUUCACUGCCUUUCUGCUUUUGGAGGUCUGUGUUUGAAGCCAGGUCCUCCUCAGUUUUAUUAGCUAGCUUGUGGUAAGCUGUUGUGAUUGAACCCCUCUGUACAGUGUAGAUGUUCAUGUUGUUGCUAUUCAGUGUAUAGCCCUGUAUAGUGAUUUCAGUUUGUGUAAACUAAUUGUGCCAAAAAUGGGUCACCAAACGUGUCUUUCUCUCUUGAAAUCAUGCCAAAUAAAAGCCUUAACGUCUGGAGUAAGUUAAGUAUCUGUUAUUGUUUUCUCAGUCUCUGCGCAUUUCUGUGUAGCAUGGAGGGGGGGCUUUAUUUGUAACUGUUUUUUUUUUCUUUCUUUCUUUUUUUUUAUGUUUCUAUUUUUCUCUGUGUGUAAAGCACUUUGUGUUGCAUGUUCAUGAAUGAAAAGUGCUCUACAAAAAUUUUUUGUUCGAUUUGAUUUGAUUUGAUCACCCAGAAGGCAGAGAACUGAUCAUGUUUUUUGGUAAAACCUGCAAAUUAAGUUCACUGUAGUACAACAUGACAUACCUAUUUAAGCUUUCCACCCUGAGUGUGAGUCCAGAGGGAGUAACCCGACAUGUGAAUAAGGUGAAUUAUGGGUAAAAGGUUGCUGUGUGUAGGUUAGAGUGAAGAAUGACUUCUAUAAGCAGUGGUAUAGAUAAAUAACAUACUCUCAGCCCACUGUGUCACGUUGCUCAUCCUAUAUGACUCACAUUUACUCUUGGCUCUGCAGCACCCUCUCUGCCUCCUUUUUUUUCUCCCCUUGUUAAACCAAGAAGUGCACAUAAGCAUGGAAUCUUCUGUAUGGCUGUGGGCAUUUUUCCACUGACUUGAUAUCUGCGGACAUUAGCCGAGGAAGGAAAACAGAUUUGUGCAGACAAAAAGAGAGCUGCAAUUAAAACAGGCUCUGGGAUUACUACCGCUGCAAUCGAGGUGCCCUUGAGCAAAUUCCUUCCUCCCUGAUUGGUCCAUUGGAGUUGAACAGCGGUCAGCCACAAUUCUUUGCAAAUAGCAGUGUGAUGUGUGCUGACACUGAUUAUUCAGUUUCAACUCCGAAUCAGAAGGAAGUGAGAUCAGCAGGAUGAAUGUAGAAGGAUCAGUUUAUACCCUAUUUUUGGAGAACAGAUGAUACAUGUUUAAACACUCUUUUCAAACACCGAUAUUUAGACAUUCAGUCAAGAGUUAAGUGCUAGCUUUUCUGCAGAGUCUGUCACCACAAGGGAGAUCUCUUUCUCCCUCAUUCUCCUUGUCUCUCUCUCUCUCUGCAUUCAUUAUUAAUCAGCAAAUGUUCUUUUUGGUUUCAUAAUCACUUUGAUAAUCAAGGUUGCUGAUGGGAGAGCACACAUUCAAAAUUGAUAGUUUGAGCAUGGCCUACUCUAGGGACAAAAGUGUUAAUUAAUUAGGCAGUAAGGUGAAAGGGAAGUGCCCGGGCUGUGCUCAGAAUUCCAGAGCACACCUGGGAAUUUACCGCAAGACCCCCCUUGGAAGCAUCAGUCAUGAUGCAUAAUCAGCGCGCACCAAGAGAGUGAUUCAAGUCUUCUUUCAUUCCUUUUAUUACUAACAUGGGUGACGUGGUUCAAAAUGUGAACAAACAGAGACCAAAGAUAAACUUACAAACAACAGAAACUCUGCUUUAACAAAGAUAUAAAUAAACAGGUUUUAACUGAGUCUGACAGCGUUAAAAAGUGUAGUCUGAGUUUGUUCUUUGCUGAAUUAUCUCUUUAUUUUGGCAGCUUUUCCUGCAUUUACACAUCCUUUAUGCAGUCAAGAAACAGACGCCCACUAACAUAACAACCCACAAGCAGCAUGACAUUACAGCAGUAUCCAAAUAUGGUAAAGGUUGCAGCUGUGGUCUGUACUGGGAGAACAAAGAGAGCUUAGUUCAUCAUCAGGUUCCUGCUUAUCAGUUCAAUGUCACACUGUUGGGGAAACAACAAACUGUCAAACAACCUGUGAGUGAAAUUGUAGCAUUCAUCUCGUUGUAUGGCUUUAGUGGAAAAGUAUGAGUCACAACUCCAAGGCUGUAUUUCUCUUUUCCCAUGCUCAUUAAAAAGAAUAUAGAUAUAACCCUGCAAACAUUUACUCCAAGUGAUUUUCAGUAAAUGAUUAACAAACAUAUAUACUGAUAAAAUACACGUGAUAGCAUACACAGACAAUUUUUCUUUCACUUAUUUAAUCAAUUACAAAUCUGUAUCAAGGUUGCACCAAGAUGUAUGUACCAAGGUAAGGAAGGCUAACCACGGCACAGAGACAGCUCUGCGUAAAGUAAUGAAUGAUUUGCCUGAUGGAUUAAGAUUGUGAGAAAUCUUUGACUUAAGUUCUUUUAGACUCUUUUAGACUUUGGACUGCAUUUAAUUCUGUUGACCAUUUGAUUUUUCUUCAGCUUCUUAAACUCUGGAUUGGUGUCUCUGGAUCAGCUUUUUAGUGGUUUUGUUCUUAUUUAACUGGAAGGUCUUUUAAUGUUGCAUUGAUAACUCACAGUCAUCUAGUGCUAAUUUGUCUCGUGGGGUCUCACAGGGGUCAGUUCUGGGACCACUUUCACUUUUAUGCUUAAGGCACCCAGCCUUACCUCUCUGCCCACACUGCACACACCCACAUCACUGAAAACAUCUGCAGCCUCUCUCAGCAAACAUUUGUAACAGCUGCAAAAAUCCAGGAGCUUGGAGAAGCAUGUCAAUUCAUCGGUUCAAUCAGGUUUUUUUCAGCAUAGAAGACUUUCCAAAAUCAGUCGCUUGCUUCCCAGAAAAAUAACCUUGAGACAGUUGUACAUGCCUUCAUCUCCUCCCACCUAGACUAUUGUAAUUCCCUGUAUUCUUGUCUAUCAGAAUAAACUACUACUAAUCCAGAAUGUGUCAGCCAGACUCCUAGCCAAAAUAAAACAGAGAGAGCAGAUCACCUCCAUUUGAGCCUCAUUCCACUGGCUUCUAGUUGAGUUUAAAGUUGAUUUUAAGGUUUUAAUGGUAACUUUUAAAGCUCUGUCAGGACUUGCCCUAAAGUACAUUGCUGAUCUUUUCACACCGUACAAGCCCAGUUGUACCUUGAAGUCCUCAGCCAAGGGUUUGCUUGGCUGAUUUAAGUUUCUUCUUAUACUUCUCAAAGUUAGAAGCUUUAAAUACGUGAAGUAAAAUGAUGCUGCAAUUGCCAAAAUAUGCACUCACAUAUUUGAUGACACUGGUGUCCAAAAUUUACAAUUUUUAACAUCUAGACUUCAAUUUAGCUUGAUACACUUUUUCUGCUUGGCCUGAUAAAGUCAUGCUUCAAGGUAAUACUCGGCUCUGAUCCAUGACAUUUCCAUUUCCAUUAGAUAUUACAUUCAACAAUAUUACAUAUUGUACCAAAAACACAAACCAUGAUAAUUUCCUCAUGUCAGUUUCCUGCAGAAAUGUUAUCCAGCUGCAAACUUCCAUGUGUCUCAGAAUACCUUGUUCAAAGUCAAACCUAACGUAUCCUUACUGACAUUUAUUUGGCUGCUUUCUUUUCCAAUUCCAUCCUGACUUUUCCCACAUUUUUAUUUUCAUUUUCAUGAUGACUGACAAACGGAAAUUGCCAUCUGUAGAUGUCAAAUAAUAAAGGAUACACAGUCUCCUGUUUUAUUCAGGAGUUGUCACCUUCGUGUGAGUCUCAGUGAACUGCAGCCGAACAGUGAUAUUGAAUGGUGAGGAGACGUAAACAGAAGGCUUUCAAAAACGCUCAAGGAAAACAGGCAGCUAUUUUCUGGAGUCUACUCUCACUCUUUGAAAACAACAGAGAACAAACAUUGACAGAAAAGGACUUAUUUUACUGAGAAAAACACACCACUCUUUUUAACAGUGAGAACCAGCAGAUUGUGUUUGAGCUGCAGGAUGGAGACCUGAAAACACUGAAAAAAUAUGAACAUGAAUUUUCUCAGUUCUUAAAUUUUUGUUUUUAUUAUUAAAACGACUUUCUGGUUUGUUCCUUAUCUCACAAUGUAUGUUAUAAUAUCUAUUUUGUUGUUAUAAUUUAACUAAUUUUUUCAUCUUUGAUCUCCAGUGUGUAUGUGGUUUCCACGCCUCUGCAGCCUGCCUCAAGUGGACACUCAGGGAACUGCAGUUUUAAGCACUUUCACUUUAGCUUGACAAAUACACUGAGGGCGAUUUCAGCCUGAUCGCAUAUUUGCUGUUGCUCAUCUACACAGCUGGUGACCUUAUAAUUAGUUCCUUGGCCCCAUUCUUGACACAGUGAAGUACCAUAGGGCAAGGUAUUAAACCCCAAAACAGCUGAUUGCUGGUGGCGCAAAUAGAAUGCUGGGCAUUUCCCAUCGAAGCGUUAACUUUUCAUCCAGCUGCUACUGUAGAUUGUGGUUUUCAAGUCUGCCAGUUGUCAAAAUGCAUUUUUUACAAGGCCUGAGGUCUUCACACUGUUGGUAGGAUAUAAAAAAAUAAAAAUCAAAUACCCAUGCCAACUUUUAUUCCCUACCUGUAAGAACUGAAACUUGGUCAAGUCAUAAAAAUGUUUGACUUUGUUAGUCAGAGAGAAGCUGCUUCCCACACUUCUCAUUAAAAGCCCACUCAGACUGUUACCUCUGCAAGACCAUAACAGCAUCAUUGUACUUGGGGCGAUGUGCAGCGUUUUAAUGUAAAAUGCAGUUCACGCUGAAAAACUCCAAAAAGAAACUCUUCUUUUGUAGGAGCACCCUUUUUUUAUCGAACUACCCCAAGGAAUAAAAGGAAAGAAGUAAAGGACAUACAUAAGUUUGAAGAGGAGUUUAUUCUACACUGAAAAAGUCCAUCUCUAUAUGUUUAACUCCUCUAACUGUGUACCUGCUGUUCAGGUGUCAAGGUGUAAAUUACAUCCGUUUUUUCGAGGUGGGUGUUUGGCCCAAAAGGCGACAGUUGGAGUCACAACGAUGAUGUGGCGAGGACAGCAGGGGUAAACUGUUAAAAAUCAGCAAGCGGUCAUAACACACACAGCACACACAGCCACUCCGAGGCAAGAUGAUGUAUUUCAUGAACAGUGGGAGAGAAGCCUGUGGGCCCAAACCGAUAAAGAAAAGCGUGAGAUUGCACCAAAUGUGUGAUCGAUGUAAGAGAAGCCAAUUUCAAGGGUGGGAAAAUAUUCUGCAUGCAGCUAUUUCUUAAAAUGAAGAGCUGUGAACAUGUCAGGAUACAGGAAAACAUUUCUACGAGGAAAGUAAAUGUGAGGGCUCGGGAUGUGGAAAUAAUGCUUAAAAGAAACACCAGUUCCAGGGAGGUAUACUUAGACCUUUAUACCUACAAAAUAUGACUUCCUGCUCAAACCCAAACUUUCAUAGAGCCUGCAAGCCAAAGUUCAGGACUAACAGUGGACCCAUGGCACGAAGGACUCCAGGGAGAUCCCCUUGUCUACUCAAUGUUGAAAUUUAAAAGGAACUAUUGAUAAUGGGCUGUAUUGAACAGUUCAAUAAAUGGUGUCAUGAGCUCUCCUAUUGCUUUAUGGAAGCCCAGAGUUGAACUUAUUGAUCAUCAUCAUUUUGGCUUUCUUGAACCCUAAGCAAUCAUAUUUGGAUGAUACGGUUAGACACACUUUUGCAAUAUUGUCCAAAUAAAAAAUGGCUGUAUCCUUUGGUUUUAAAAGUGACCAGCUGGGGGGCAUCUUCACUGAUCGGGAAAUGAUACCGAAUAAGAAAAGACUCUACCUGUCAGCCUCAGAAAAUACAAUGAGCCUGAUCAUUCACCCAGUGCACAACAUCUUAGCAUACAGCACAAAUGCCAACUCAGAGAUAGAGCAAGAAUUCCUCCUUGUCUCUUUACAUCAGGAAAUUGUUUCCAGUAUAGGGGUUAAUAUUUGCAGCCGGAGGACAAAGAUAGAGUCUCCACUAUCUCCCCACUCAGCUCACCCUGUAUGUGUGAGCUCAGAACUCCAGCCUGAGAUGUCACUGAGAUCACCAUUAUACACACUUUGUUUGACAUGCAGUCUCCUGAAUACAUACAGAAAUAGAUGCCCCAUCACUAAAACACACAACUGAGGUUUCUAUAUACAAUCAUCUAUCAUGACUUAAUGAGUGUGUAACCCAUGUUAAAAUAUGACAUAAAUAAGAAUAAAUAGUUGAUUAAAAGCUGCAUAAAUAAGUUUGAAACUUAAAAGAAAAAACAUCAACCAAAAUGUUAAUUCAACAAUCAUUUAAUGUUUAAGAUUAAAAGUCUGCUGACAGAAAAUGACGUUGCUGCCCCUUUAAGGGACCAGCGACACAGACGCAGCACCUCAGUGACGCUGCAGCAGAGACCUGAGGGAGAGAGCAGAGGAGAAACCGGAGAAGACGAGCGGUGAUUAAUUAACAGAAAAAGCUGUGAAAAAGUCGAUAAAACAGUUGAAAACCAUAACUUACCUGGUCGGGAACUGACGGGGAUUUUAUGAGAACUAAGCCACACUGGGUUUGGUCAGGUUUUUUUGCACGCUUGGAAGCUCGGUCGGAGCGAGGAUUGGUCUGCCAUGUGCAGGCAUGCACAUUCACAGACGGGAUUCAAGAUGGCGAGCCAGACCCAGACCUUCAACUCAGCUUCUCCAUCGCAUUGUGAGGGAAUCUCCUGCGUGUGGUAACUCCUUGCCACAGUGGUAGGAGUAUCAGGAAGUAGUUUGAACUGAACUGAACAUAACUGAUUGAAUUAUUAUUUGAGGCUUGAGGCCACCAUCAGAUUCCCAGAGAGCUUGCUUGGAGCCGACAUCGAGGUACCUACACUGGUCUUGGUUGUACCCGACAUGCGCUCCACCUCGUCAUCGGUGCUUAAAGGCACAAACAAUACUUUGGAUGUUCUUUACGAGAAAUAUGCAGAGAUCGCACCUCAGAACUAUGAGUCUCUUCCUUAUGGCUACAAAGUCGUCCUAAAGUCCCUUGAAAUCCAAAAAAGACAGUCUGUUGAUUCCAGCCUGGGAGAGGUAAGGCUUCAUAGUAGAGACUUUGAAACCAUUGCAGCUGGACAGACCAAAGUCCUUGAAGGAUCAGUGAGCUGCAGGACACCUGAUGCUGGAAAGUGGGUGAUAGUAGAGUCACCAAUGUCAUCGACCCUGCCUGGUGGCAUCCUGAUGACAGAUAGCCUGAUAAGUCUACCACCAAAGCUACCACGCUGCAUACCAGUCACACUCAAGAACGAGUCACACCAUGACAUCACCCUGUCUCCAAAGGCUGUCAUAGCAGAGGUACAUGCUGUCAAGAGUGUCCAAUCUCUCAAGACCCUUGACUCAGACUCCCCCACAAAACCUGACCAAAAAACAAAUCUCAACUUUGACUUCACUGACUCUCCUGUACCCAAUGAGUGGAAAGAGAGGAUAACAGAAAAAUCGAGUUCCAUGCCGGAGGUGUUUGCACUGCACGAGCUAGACUUUGGCCGCACUGACAAAAUCAAACACCACAUAACUCUCAGUGACGAGAUGCCAUUCAAACAUAGGCCAAGACCUAUACACCCCCAGGACAUAGAGGCUGUGCGUACCCAUCUCCAGCAACUCCUAGAUGCAGAAGUCAUCCAUGAAUCGGAGUCACCUUUCUCCUCGCCGAUCGUAGUCGUCAGGAAAAAUAAUGGCGACGUCAGGCUCUGUAUAGACUACAGAAAAUUGAACACACAAACAGUAAAGGAUUCAUAUGCUUUACCUAAUCUGGAAGAGUCCUUCUUGGCAUUGACUGGGUCCAGGUGGUUCUCGGUGCUCAAUCUCAAAUCAGGCUUCUAUCAAAUAGAGAUGGAGGAAGCAGACAAGACUGCAUUCGUCUGCCCACUAGGAUUCUUCGAGUUCAACAGGAUGCCUCAGGGGAUGACCAAUGCCCCUAGCACGUUCCAGAGGCUUAUGGAGCGCUGUAUGGGAGAGUUGAACUUGAAGCAAGCCCUAGUUUUUUCUGGAUGACCUCAUCAUCUUCUCCUUGACACUGGAGGAGCCCGAGGAAAGGUUGAUGCGCGUGCUCAACCAAUUAAAAGAGUUUGGCUUGAAACUGUCGCCAGGGCAAGUUCUUUCAAACCUCUGUAAAGUACCUCAGCCACAUCGUGUCUGAAAAAGGCAUCGAAACUGAUCCUGACAAAGUAGCAGCAUUAAAAAGCUGGCCAAAACCAACCAACUUGAAGGAGCUUGAACCUUCCUUGGUUUCUGCGGUUAUUACCGCCGGUUCGUUAAAGACUUCUCAAAGAUUGUGAAGCCACUCAACGAGCUCACCGCUGGCUACCCGCCACUGAGAAAGCACGCUAAAACCACAGUGAACCUUGAGAAGUACUUCAACCCAAAGGAUUCCUUUGGUGACAGAUGGAUGCCUGCUUGCCAGGCAGCGUUUGACACCAUAAUCGAAAAGUUGACGACCGCACCCAUCCUCUGGUUUGCUGACCCUGAGCUCUCCUACAUUCUACAUACAGAUGCUAGCACCUCGGGCCUCGGUGCUGCCUUCUACCAGGAGCAACAGGGACAGAAGCGUGUCAUUACAUACGCAAGUCGAGGUCUGUCGAAGUGUGGGUCCAGGGGCCUGUUCUACGAAGCAAGUUCAACCUAGCGAGGUAGCCUUGGAGGUACCUCGCUCAACUUAGCGCGGUAGCCAGCGGUCUCGCUAAACAGUCUUACGAUGCUGGUUAACAACCUCAUAAGUUGAUCCAGCUUUGCUAUGAGCGCGUGCACACAUGUAAGGCGGAGCCCGCUGCAUCUGACCAAUCGCGAACAUGGACCAGUGUGGAGCGUCAGAGUAGGCUGGAGAGCGAAGGACUGCGGACUUAGAAACGAGGAGCAGGAGACGAUCAUGAGAAAGUAUGAAGAAUUAAAAUCUAUCAUAAACCUCAAAAGCAACACCGUUGCCGCUGCAAAAGCACGGAAGGAAUGCUGGCGGAAAAUUAACCUUUGAUGCCAUUAUCACCCUGAAAUAGCACUGUUCAACAUGCGCUUUUAACUAUGGUGACCAGACAUCCCUGAUUUCCGGGGACAGUCCCCGAAUUGGAUGAUCUGUCCCCGGCUAAAGCUGUCCCCGAAAAUGUCCCUGAUUUAAGCGUUUCAUGAAUGAGAACAAAAAUGUUGCAUGUGGGCUAGAACAAAGGUUAUUACAGUAGGUAGGAAGCACAAGUAAGCAGUCCUGAACAACAGUAUUUACGGGGGUUAUUACAAGGGGGGUGCGCUGUUACUAAAUGGUACCGAGAUGUUGUCUGUGAUCAUGCAGCCCAUGCCCAUUCAUUUCCAAGAUGAAUUCAUUCAUUUGUUCAUUCCUAUUGUGUUUACAUUUUUUGUGUGAUAUGUCGGCCAUAUGAGCCUUUCAUAAAAGUGGUCAUCCGGAGAAGUAAGUGGGUCCGUGCGGUCCCUGAAAACUCUUGUCGCCGGAGUGCUUCUCGGACAAUGCGAGCAUCGAGGUCUAAAGGAUCCUCCAAGAAUGGACAAGCCAUUUUUCGAGAGAGCUCAUUGGUCAGUGGGCAGGGUUUUUAUACUCGGUGAGUUCAAUCUGGAACUUAACCUGCCCUGGAGCAGGUUAGCCAUUCAGCGUAUGUUGCCAUGGAGACUCGCCUUGCUAAGAAGUGAACCUGCGUCGUAGAACAGGAAACCCCCAACUUACCCUCGAAGUUACCUCGCUAAGCAGUAAUCCUGCUUCGUAGAACAGGCCCCAGGUAUCCUGCGCACAAAUUAGAAUUCCUUGCCCUUAAGUGGGCAGUAACAAAGAAAUUCCAGGAUUACCUGUACGGGAACACAUUCCUUGCAGUCACAGAUAGCAAUCCAUUAACAUACAUUCUUACCUCUGCUAAGCUCAACGCCACGAGCUACAGAUGGUUGGCCGCUCUGUCAACGUUCGAUUUCCAGCUACAGUACAGAGCCGGUAAGCAAAAUCAAGACACAGACGGGCUGUCCAGACGUCCCCACAGCAGAGCACCUGAUGACACAUCAUCACAAAAAGAGCUGGGGCGGAUACAACAAUUCACAAAAAGAUACUUGUCAGAGGCUGAUUAUGCACACCUGAAUGAAAACACCAUCAAAGCCAUCUGUGAGAAGCACUUUGUCCAUGAAGUGACCAACAAUCACUCUGGGGAAACAUUACCCAGCACCACCUUGGUUGUGUCACUUGCCCACCAUCCAAAGGCUCUCCCACAAAGCUUUGAAGAGGAGGAUCAGCUUGGUGGCUUACCUGUCAUCCCCUCAUUUGCACCAGCUGAAAUAAGAGACAAACAAAAUGUUGAUUCAUGCAUCCUUGAAGUACUCAGGCAAGUGGAGUUGGGAGAAAACCCCCACCAUCCUUGAGGAAGGAACUUCCUGAGCUUGGUCUCUUAUUGGGAGAGUGGAACAAACUUGAGGUCUUAAAUGGCAUCUUGUAUCACAGGUGACAAGAGGGCGCUCAGACUCACUACCAGCUUGUGCUCCCUGAAGCCCUGAGAUCCUUAGUCCUUAAGAGCCUCCAUGACAACAUGGGCCACAUGGGCACAGAGCGCACCCUAGAUCUUGUCCGGAAGCGAUUCUAUUGGCCCAAAAUGUCAGCCAAGGUGGAAACUAAGGUCAAAACCUGCAACCGCUGCAUACGCUGUAAGACCAUGCCCAAGAAAGCUGCACCACUCGUCAACAUCGUGGCCACAAGACCACUCGAACUCAUGUGCAUGGAUUUUCUCAGUGUGGAGCCGGACUCAAGUAACACAAAUGACAUUCUGGUCAUUACCGACCAUUUUACGAAAUAUGCAGUGGCAGUCCCCACCCUGAAUCAGAAAGCCAGGACAGUGGCCAAGACCCUCUGGGACCAUUCUUUCGUCCAUUAUAGCAUUCCUGAAAAACUCCACAGUGACCAAGGUCCCGACUUUGAGUCCCGAACAAUAAAAGAACUGUGUGAGCUCAUUGGCACUCAAAAGAUAAGAACCUUACCUUACCAUCCGAGAGGGAACCCUGUAGAACGCUUCAACAGGACCCUGCUCCACAUGUUGGGAACCCUCGAGAACCAGAAGAAGAGUCACUGGGGGGAGUACGUCAAGCCGUUAGUACACGCUUAUAAUUGUACUAAGAACGAGACAACCGGCUUUACCUCUUACGAGUUAAUGUUUGGGCAUCAGCCAAGACUGCCAGUUGACCAGUGAGGCGUUUUACAAUCUUCGUGAAGUAGUCGGACAGAUCAAAAGAUGUCUGAAGACAGCAAUGCCACACGAUGGCAACAGAAGGCAACCCCUCAACAAGUGUCGCUGUGAGGACUGUGAAGGGCGUCCUCCACACUCUCUCAAAUAAGCAACGAGGGAUUUGAUGUUUGUAAGGUUGUACCCACUGGUAAGACAAACAUCCUUUUCCACAAAUAAAGACAAUCACAUCAAGUUGCAUAUAUUUAAACCUCACCUAACAAAGGUUGGUUUUGCGCACAGAUCACAACACAAAUUCCAAUAAUGGCAUUAAAAUCUGAACCAUCUGUGUGUAAAUGAUGCAUGCACUCCGUGGCCUGGUUCUUUCUAUCAUUGAUGUUGGCAUGUAAAAAAAAUUUGGCUCAUGCAACUGAAUUUUAUAACAUUCCUAUGUAGGCUUAAAGUAAAUGACUCAUCUAAUCAGUAAAGUUAAUCAUCUUUUCAGCCACCGCAGCAGCAGCAGGACGUGGAGAGGACACAGAGACAUGUCCAGGUUGAGCUGGUCGAAAUAUAAGAGGAAGAGGAAAAUAGAAAAAGGGGAGAAAUGAUUUAAAUAUCUUGUUAACUUCAUGUGUGUCUAUUUAGUAUUUACUAGAUAUUUAAUUUGAUUUGAUGUGGUCUCAACUGUGUUAAUUCGGUCAGGUUGAGUAUCUAAACAUGUGCUAAAUGCGCUCAUUAGAUAAGCUAUAGAUCAGAAUAUAUUUAUAGAUCUGAAUGUAUGUACUGAUUCAGAAUAAUGGUUGUUGUUAUUUUUUGCACUGAAAUGUGCCUGACACCGUGGAAACCUGCCAGUGAGGCAUUGGUAACGUAUGUGCACUAUGCCACCGGUCUACUAAAAAACCACUAGACUAGCUGCUCUCUGCCUGCGCUGAAAGCUGACCAGGUUUGAAUCGGUGAGCUUUCAGCGCACUUUCCAUGCCACCAGUGGGCACGAAAAUAUCACUGUGCCAGCUGAUUCUGUCGACACCUCCCCCUACCGUGCCACCACACCCAGCUUGGGGCACCUCGGUGCACCUCAGACUACGAAAAUACCAAACUGGCUGAGCAACUGAGAAGGGAGACAUAGGCAUAGUUUGAUGAGGUUUUCAGCUUCUUUGAAAAGAAUGCUCGUUUGUGGAAGGAGUUUAGACAUAUUUGCAGCUAUGUCUUGUACUGUGUUGCCGGGAGAGUUGCAGAGGACGUGUCAGAUCAUUUUUAGCUGAGUCUCCAGUCGGUCCCUGUCAUAGUGUGAGGGAAGGUGCAGGGAACCCACAUUCAGUGUUUUUUGUUUUUUGGCUGACUUGAUGACCAACUUCUCCCUAAGAGCUGCUGUUUACAUGCCACCUUGGUCGAAUCUCCUCUUCAGUUCCUCUGUAAUCAAGUCCACUUCUUCAUAAAACUCACACCGCCAUGAGUUUUGUUCUGCUGCCUCUGGCUCUAUUGUGUGCCGAAAGUGGACUAGGGUUUCUGUCAUCCUCUGCCCAUCUGGCAUUUUCAGUCUCGUUGUGGAUACCUUGUGCAAUAUGUUCUCCACCACUGCAUAAUCUCAAAGCGCUUCCAUGCGCUUUCUUAGCAAUUCGGUGCACUCAAGAGUACCAUGCACCUGGUAAACUGGUUUCUGGCCCCUAUUUGCAGCCAGUGCCGCUGCCCCUUGCUGGUCAAAAAAAAAAAAACAACACAGGCUUGAAGCAUUUCAGGUUUUGCUUCACAUUAAAGUUUAUGCUUCUGUCUCCAAUGUUGGCUGGGAUCAUGCAUGGACUGAUGAAUAGUUAGAUAGACUCACGUAGGUGCUUUUGGAUUCCAGAGUCAAUGUGUACAUUUCUGUUGUUUUUAUGAUUCAUUGGGUUGACUUUAAAUGUCCUGUAUUCAAAAGCAGCCAGCAGGCGUGUAGUAAGAUGCUGCAUACUGACUUCACCUCCAGGGUUUAAAGUCCGAGAGCUUUUUUUUUAAUCAUUUUAUUAUUAUUUUUUUAUUUAUUUACAGGUUACCCAGUCUGAGUCCUUUUGGUGUAAAAGCACAGCAGUUGUGAGCAGAAUGAAAUAGAGGCUUGAGGAGCGCAAUUUGAAACAGCAUUCAGAGAGACUCAGAAAAACAAGAAAAAACAUCCAAAAAGACAGUUUGUUGCAGAGGAUAAAAAGAUAUCAGAGUCUUUUUCUUAAGAUGUGAGGGGAAAAAAACAUGUUGGUGGAACUGCUCCUCAAAUGUUUGUUGUCAAUGAUAAAAGAUGAAUAAAGAUAAGGCAUGCAUGAGUUUUAAUACUAAAGGAAAACAGGUGCCACUGCUCUCCUGGGUUAAAUAGAUCAGCAUGUGAAGCAGUAUGAAGUAUUCCUUUUGUGCAAGGAGAAUACAAAAAGUCACAAAUACCCCUUUACUUUACAAGAGGAAGUAAAGGGAGCAGGUGCCAGGAGCAACAAAUGAUGCCUGCCAUGCAAAAAUAGACUUUUUUUAGACCAUCUAACCAUUUAUUUGCUGGUGGUGGCUCCUCCUUCUGGGUGCUCCCUGUGUUGACUAAGGCUGGCCUCACACUUGAUGUUUUAGAGCUCUUUAUUCCACCCAGUUUUGAUUGAUUUUUUACUUUACAAUCCUCAGACUCAGGAGCAGUAAAGAAAUUGCAGUGGCACCACAAGCCCCCAAAUCUGGCCACAUCCUUUAUAUUUGGGGUGGCAAAUUAAACCCUAUAGUUGUCUAGUGUACGGUCAGCCAGGGCAGGAUUAUAUAGCUUUCUAUGGAGUGCAUGGAGUUAAAAAAAAAAAAAAAAACUUUCAGAGUGGAAACUAUAGGAGGCCAAGGCAGUGGAGGCAAAGCUUUGCCCUCAGCAGCAGCAGCAGCAGCAGAGCGUGACCCUUUAAUACCACUACAUGCAUACAAACUGGAAGGAAUUCAGAUGGGACUUGCAUAGAUCAUUGGGCCAAUGCUUCAUGGGUCAGGACCUCUGAUCUUAAAGACAAAAGGAGGAUUAUUAAAGAUGAAUACAGUUCAACAAUCAAUGACAGUUGAACUUUCAACUGUUAACUUCGUCAGUAGGUUUCAGUACAACAUUUAAUCCUGACCAACAGAAAUAUUCAUCCAUGGUAACCUGCUUAAUAUGUUGUUGCUGAAUAUGUGGUUUCACACCCCUGUGUGAGUUUGUAGUUCUCCUGUGAUCUUUGACCUGGUGGAUUCAGCUUCCUCAGUCUGCUGCAGAAACAAUGAUCUAUGCUGUUGGAUUGAGCAAAAACAAACUGCAGAUGAAGUAUGAUGCACAUGCUACUUGAUGAAUCAAAGAGAGAGCAACUGACAUAUGAAGGAUCUGUGCAAAGCAAGUUGUUGUUAUGCAGCUGUGAUUUAUUUGUGAAUCAGUUUAAUAAGGAAGUUGUCGGCUGAUGACUGCUCGGGUUUUUUAUGACUUUAGUGUCCUGUAUUAACCAAUGCAAAGUUUUAUUCCUGAUAAUUUACUUGAUUUUGCUGCGGGAUCAUUCAGUUACAUAUUGUACAUAGUGGAUAUUUCAUGAUGAAUAUGAUAACUACUGUAUUCUUCUCUGCUCUUGGUAGAAAUCGGUAAAACCGGCCGACCUUAAACUGCUUGGACUGAGCCUGAUGACCUGUAAGAUUCUCCUCCUCUACUGCUUUUGAACUCAGAAGCCCUCCCUCCCAUGUCUUCCCACUCUCUGUUUCUCUCAUGCUGCCUUGAGGGGUUUGUCAUGCGUGGGUGCAACUGUAGGUCCCCAAGAGACCCCCUCAAAAAAUGGCAAAGAGUUAUCGAUAACAAAAGUCAUCAAAUUACAUUCUGUUGGUGGUGUAGUCCUCACCAGAACUCAAACUGAAGCCUUUCCUAAGGAGUCUGUGAAACACCUACAUAUCGUUCUUCAUCAAGACGAACAUUGUUAACCAGGUAGAUACAGUUAUAGCUGUCAUUGGGGUGGAUUUUGUUGAAGCAUCAUGCAGAAUUGAAGGGAUAUUGCAGUGUAUUUGGAAAAUAUGAGUUACAUGUCUUGAGUAAGUGAAUUUGUCACUUCCGGUACCUUUACAUGGGCACAAAAAACGGAAUAAAUGGCAGUUUAGAAUGAAAAUGUGUCAUGUGAACAUGUCCAUCGGAAGAUUCUGAUCCAAUACGUCCCAAUCGGAGAGAAACUGUAUUUCAAUCAAGAGGGGUGGUUUAUGCCCACGGUUUGUGCCGCAACGUGUCCAUAUAAACAUUUAUUCCGAUCAUGACUCUUUGUUGGGGCAAAACUAACCUGACUCAGUCUUCACUCUACUGACUUUAUUGAGGUCAGUACAGGAGGUUUCAUUAUUAACACUGGCAUAAAACACAACCGCGGGUGCUGUGCCUGCUCCUCCGAUGACAUAACAAGGCGUACAUACAGCGUAAUGAUGUUACAUCUGCACACACAGUGCAAACUUUGACAGAACAGUGAAUUAAGUAAGCAAGGGCGCCAAUCUAGUGACAAUAUUAAACAGAGGGAAAACUCCUGAAUUGGAUAGAGCGAGCCAUGACCGUGUUUGUUGGUUUGUUGACAGCACAGGCGUAAAUACAACUCUUCUUCUGCGGUUGUUUUAGCGAAAUCAGAUAACUCUGUGCGUGUCCAAAUGCUUCUAAUAUGAAUACAGCUUGGUGCAUGUAUACACAUGUCAUGAUCGGAUUAUUUGAUCUUGUGCCCAUACAGUGGAUUCAGAUUUUCCAAUCCCUGAAAUUUUUAUUCGGAUCAAGAAAUUUUGCACAUGUAAAUAUGGCUGAUGAAUGCCAAUCCCCUUCUGCAGGAUGCAAGCUAGGCUAUAGUCUCCUACAGAAGGGGAGAGAUUCUGCUCAAGUACUCAUCUUGGUUUAAGUGUAUGCACUACCGUAAAAAUGUGCACUCCUACAUGCAGUCGACUGAUAUGCUAUUUAAAUCAGCUGGCUUCGAAGAGACAAAAAUUACAUCCAAACUAAAGAAUUAGUGAUUCAGAAUGUGUCGAUGAUAUUCAGUUCACUGCAAAUACACUCUGACACCUGUACGAAGUGGGCAGAGGAAACAGACGACUCAAAUCAUCUAAAGUUACCUGGUGGAACUGGUGUGAAAACUGCAGGAUAAUGACCACGAACCAAUACAACUACAUCCUGAGAUGCUGUGAUCAGCAACAAUCACCAACCACAGUCCUAAUCCAACAAAAUAAGCAAAAAUACAUAUCUGCAGAAAACUGUAGCAUACCUGGGUAGUAUCGGCUUAAAGGAGCUGAGCUGUCUAUUGUGGCAAAUACAGUCAAUAAUGACACGUAUCUCAUAUAAGCCUCCUUCAAAAGCACUGAAAUGACCCUUUAACCUCUAUUUUCACUUCUCCUUUCAGUAUUGAUGUGUGUUUGAUGAUUAUUUAGCAGCAGGAGAGGGUUUUUCUCCAGUGAAUGCUCACUCGUUUAAAACGACAGGAUCUGCAAGAAUCACUUUGUCCACAAGAGCUGUCGAAAGAAAAGGUCUUUGGCUGCUCUUGGACCUGAGAUAACAUCGGUCUCUCCGCUUCCUCUCACCUUCAACAGCUCUAAGAAGUCUGUAUCAUCCAUCUACUCAUCUUUUACAUACCCUUAACUGAUAUAAAUGCCUGAUUAUGGGUUUCCUCUGUGACUAAAGCAGAGACUGAGGGGUGCUUAUUUGCAUGAGUCUCUCACAAAUUAGUAUUCCAGCAUUGAGAGAAAGUCUCUUAGACUCAGUUUUGUUUGCAUAAACAUUUCCACUGUUGGUAGAGUAGGAUGGUUAAAGUGAGUCUGCCCACUGUGUUUGGCAGUAAGUGCUGCGAGCAAAAAUAGAGACCUGUUUCUGCUGCCAGGACGUUAGUUUUUGAUUGGAUGUCAAUUUGUCAAUAUCAGUGGGACAGAGUGUGGGCAAAUUUGAGAGUUGGUGGAAUUAAAGAAAAUAAACUUUCUGUAAUUUGCAGAUUUAGUGAGGGGGUGUAGAAAGGACAUCAAAAAAUAGAUUGCUGGUUUUUUUUUUUUACUUGCAUGGAGAGAGAAUCUGGACUUAUCCUGUGAAUCUACGCACAAUUAUUCAACAUUGAAAAAAAAUGUUUUUGCUGUGUCUUAAUACUACGUAAACCACCUUUAGAGUGUUUUCACUUUAAACAGUAACAGGAGAGGCGUACCUUUGGACAGAUGUGGAGACAUAUGUGAAACAAAACAAGGGAGCGAAGGUUGGCAAAAAGAAGAGAUCCCUUUUACAUACAAGAAUAGUAUUUAGAAAGAACAUUUAACUGUACUGGGUUAUAGCAGUGGUUCUCAAGUCCAGUCCUCGAGGCCCACUAUCCUGCAUGUUUUGGAUGUUUCCCUGCUCCAACACACCUGAUUCAAAUAAUUAGCUAAUUAUCAAGCUCUGUAAUGGCUUAAUAAUAAGCUAAUUAUUUGAAUCAGGUGUGUUGGAGCAGGGAAACAUCCAAAACAUGCAGGACAGUGGGCCUCGAGGACUGGACUUGAGAACCACUGGGUUAUGGCAACAAAAGGGGAAUAUUGUGACAACAUCAAAGUAGUUUCAGGACCUGUGUUAACUAUGAUUCAGUUAAAUGUUCAUGUUACAGUUGUUCAAGCCAUAGACUGUAUAUACUAUGGACAACUUGGCUCCGCCUUUUGUCAUUAUAUGGAUUUGAAGCCGAAUUGCUCUUAGUAUCUGGGAUUUUCUCCACUUACUGGAACCACCACUUGUGCAGUAGCGUUGUAGGCAUUCAGCAGGAGAGUCACUGUGAUGACAGUCCCGUGGAUCAGCUACGCAAUCUUUGUACGCCCAAAGGCUGUAUCAAGUGUCAAUCAUAGAAAACAUGAAGCUCUAAUAAGUUUUAAAAAUGGAGAAAAAAGAGGAUUUGAGCAAAAACCAGUCUUACAGUAACUCCAUGUGAACAACACAAUCAGGCUGGAGAAAAAAUAGUAUUCUGUGUUAUUAAUUUCUAAAGUUUGUCCACAGCUCCCUAAGAAUUGAUUUAUGACCUAUACCACCAGGGGGUCCUGUUCUCGCGGUGGCUUUACCCAGCCAGGAGGCAGACAACGUCCAUUCUAUAUACAGUCAAUGGUUCAUGCUCCGAGUUGUCAGUGUUUCAAAGUUUGAAAUAUUCAAUCAGAGUUUCCACCAUUUUAACCAAAGCUGCCCCACAGGGAUCAAUCCUGGGUCCUGUUGUAUUUACUAUAAAUAUGAAAAAAAAAAAAAAAACAUGGACCAAAAAGUUCUGGGGACUCUUUGAAGAGUCUCUGUGAACUGCAGACUAUGGGGGCUUUUUUUCUACCUGUUGUCAUGGUGACUGAUACGAUUAAGUGAUGUAAGCUAGCUGACAGUUUUAAGUAACUUCACUUAUUCUACACAGGUGAAAAAACGAGUUGAAAUAUAGUGGUGAUGGUCGAAGCAGUGCUCAUUGUGUGUGAUUGGGUCUGUGAAUAAAACUGAUUUAAAAGGACACAAGCUAAGAUGUCUUUAUGCUGUAUUAUAUUUAAACUAUUUGAGCUAAUCUUUCUUAAUAGAGCCCUUUAACAGACUGAUGAUUAUAGGGUAUCAGGUUUGGCAAUCACUUUAUUACUUUUGAUCAAAGUUUUAUGAAGUUACAUGACUGCAGUUGUUAAAGUCUCUGUAAAAAGACUUCUGCCUUCUGCAGGGCCUUCCACUGAUAAUAUUACUAAUGUGUGUGGUGGGAUUUAAAAACAACAAUUUGGUGGUACUGGAUUGGCUUUUGUGUUCAACCAAUCACUGUGGUCCCUCUUGUGAUGGGAGAGUACCUACUAUGAAGCAGGAGCUUGACAGAAUAUCAUAAACAGGGUUCUGGGAGUUAAAACAGUUCAUAGUUCCUGCAGUGGUACAGCUAUGAAAAAGUUCCUGCAGUUUGACAACACCUGUACUCUCCUCUGUUCCUGAUUAUCAGCCUUCAAAAGGCGGUGCUGCCUUUUUUUUUAACUUGUGGAUUUUGUACAGCUCACUGAUGAGACGCUGUGAUUUAACUUGAAUGUUUUUCAGAUUGGAUUUAUCAGUCUUACAUUUGUACUUAACACCAGCUAAAAAAAGAAAACAGAAUUAAAAAAAAAAAAAAAAUACGCAUUUUUUUUCUUUUCUGGGGCAAGUGAUAUUGAUUUCAAAAUUCAACUAAAAUCCAUGCUGGAUGGGAGUACUAUUGGAAAGGUCCCAGUGUCGGAGUAUCUCUGUAUCUGGCUCAUUCUCGUUUAAAAUCCAAAUUAAAAACUUCAUCAGCAAACUUUGUUAGAAACUCAGAUUUUUAUACAAAUGAUCAAUUUUUCCUCUGAAGUGAUCUUAUUUUAGUUAAGGUGAUACUGUUUACAGACAGGCUGCUGCCUCCUAUAAAACCAGCCAUCACAUUCUUACACAUGCCCCUAUACAGUGUCAGUGCUGAACUGGACCUCUGGACCCUAUUGAACUCAGUCUACCGAGAGGAAACUUAGUCUACCAUCUGUUUAAAACUUUGAGUACUAUGGCCUUACUCUAAACUUGGGAAAUCCACCUUACUGACAAUAUGCAGAUUUAUUUAUAACAGACUCUUAAGAUCAACUUUCUUGUUUCUCUUGUACAACUCAAGUCAGUUAUCUCAGUUUGCAGUUGUUUUCAUCCAGCACAUCCCUUUCUAACUGAUCCUUGUAAAUGAGGGAAUCACUUUUGAGUUUCAAGGCUUAAAUAAAGGUUGAAGUUGAUCUUCCAAGAUCUUACUGCUCUUAUCUAUGACUUUAAACCCUCCUUAUUGCAUCCUGUUUUAAAGAUGAGCUGAAGUCACUGCAGUGGUUGCAUCUUGUGGAGGAAUAAAAUUAAAGUGAUUGGUCUCCUGAAUAAGAUUUGCAAAAGAAAAAAAAAAAAAUCAACAUUGAAGCCUGACAAAUGAAAAGUGAAUAAUCUGAAUUGCUGUGUUUGCUUUACAGAAACACAGAUUAGCAAUUACUUUUUGGUGCUAAAUGCUGAUUAAUAAGCAGAGUGUGAUGUAAAGUCUUUUCACUGCUAAUUUGAUACAUGGGCUGCUUUUCUGUGACCACCUGGGGAGAAUGUGGUAAUGAGCAGAUGUUUAGGUGUGCCCAGGUGAUGCUGCGACACUACAAUAUGUGCGUGUGUGUGUGUGUGUGUGUGUGUGUGUGUGUGUGUGUGUGUGUGUGUGUGUGUGUGUGUGUGUGUGUGUUAACAUACCGCUUGAAAGAAAUUGGCCUACAACCAGUGUGAUGUCCCGGGCCUUGUGAUUAAUUGAUGUAUGACUAACAAAGCCUUCAGCCUCAGGUCCCAUGGAAGCUGGCUAAUGGUGCUGCGCUGUGUUUAUUGGGAUAUUUCUGCUGAUUUAGGAAACUCAGACUGUGACAGGAUUCCAGGUUAGAAACCACAGAGGAGAAGGCUUUUCUGAAAAUAAGAGAGCGGGAGAGUGAUACAGAGAGAAUAAACAAGACUAAUGAGAAAGGAGAGCUUUUCACAAACACGUUUAUACAUGAAGGUGCAAUUUUGAUGAAAUUGUCGUAGUUAUCUAAGAAAAUAUGCUUAUGUUAAAAUCAAGAUUCCUAGUCUUGUCUGUCAGAACAAAUGUCAAAGCCAUAACAGAGCCAUGGCGUACAACCAAAACCCAGUCUAGGACAGAAGGUAUGAGCUGAUUCUUUCACACAGAGAGAGGAAAAUGUCAUGAGUAAAGCUAAACUUUGUAAAAAGAAACAAAAUAUUAACACAGUGCUUGAACCUGAGCUGAUUUCUUUUGUAUAUGACUGAUGUCUUUGUCAGUUGAUUAGUCCAAACUCCAUUAUAAUGGCGAUUUAUUCCAGCUGCAAAUGCUCUACUGACAGGAGUCCAACAAAUUUCACCUCUGCCUGUUGACACUGUGGCAAAAACCUAGUCUCAGGCUCAGGCAGGUCUUGAAAGUCUGGACAUAAUCCUAUUUAGGGGUCAGCUGAGAAACAACUGGACCCUAAUGAUUUCUGAUCAGAGGAAAGUGGAGGGACAUCCUGUCCUGCAAUCCAUGCAUCGGCUGCAGAGAGGAUCUUUAAGCUGCAGAUCACUAUAUAUUAACGCAGACAGAAAGGGAGCAGAGCAUGGACAGUUGAAUAUGUUCAUUUAUUUUGACCCACUUUAAGUGUUUCCACUACCUGAAAUAAUAAGUCAUACAAAAUGCUUUAAUAGAAAGCAUCUUUGCAGGGAAAACCUCCAGAUUUGUGAGUUUAUUACUUCAGCUUUAGCAGACUUUUGACCGUUUUCAUAGUUUUUUUUUUUUUUUAAAUUAAAAAUGUCCAAAUUGUCAGAACUUGUCAAUUUAAAGCCACAAGUGGUAAAUAGCUGUAACAUCAAAAUCUCUCUUUAUGCAACUUUAAAUAAAUUCCAGUUUAAGUAAACAUACAGCUUAAUUCUUUAAAAGAGGGAGAUGUGUUGUAGAAAUGAUGUUAAAACUGGCAUUAAUUGCUGUUAUAAGCUUAAAAAGAUAAUUAUAACAGUUAUUAAUUAAGCUAAGAAAUAAAAGAUGAUUGAAGUUUAGAUAUAAUGAUGCUGCUUGUUUUUUUUCCAUGUGAGAGGAUAACUUAGUUUUCUAGGUUUAAGAGUUUAUAGCUCAUGUGAGGUUUUUUUUUUUACAUCUUAGAAACAGGCUGAAAAAUAUUGAUGCAUUUUUAUAAAAUCCAAAAGCAAACAAUACCAUAAGAAACAGAAUUGGUUGUUUUUAUGUCACGAUUUUUACUCCUGAAAACAGUGUGAGGGGGUAGGUUUCAUCCAUGCAGCUGCAGAAACAAUCUUGUUUUUACAAUUACAGCAACAAUAUCCACAGUCUGACACAUUUGACUGCAAAAACGCAGCAGGAUAAGAGAGGACAAGAUAAAAAAGAGGGUUGUUUUAUCCACCGGGGGGCACAAACAGGAGCUUCAAGGAUGAAACUAAUCUACGCGUAUGUUUUUUCAAUUUCUAGGAAAAAAAACUACAAAAUUUUUCAUAUUUUUAAGCUUUUUACAAGUGGACCUGAAAAUCUUGAGUUUAUGUUUGCAUCUGCAGCAGGUUUAUAAAAAAAAAAAAAAAAGAUUUACUAUUCACAGAGCAUUUUGCAAAAAAACACCUAAAAUAUCAGUAUUUCUGCAAAAAAACAAAAAAACAAAAAAAAAACACCACUUUACUCAUUGAGAGGAAGAGGUUCACUCGUGUUCAUCUCUGAAAUGUACCACAUCUGAGUGCAGCUAUUUUUAUAUACAAGGAUGUUUUAUGGGGAUGUAUUUUUUUGUGGUCUAACAGAAUUGUCUAUAUGAAUUCUCAGGCUCUCAACAUGCAGCUAUACCUCACCGUGCUGAUCCCCUGACAGCUGUGGGUCUGACGGUUUCACUGCAUUUAUUGAUUUAGUUUCUCUUUGUGGAGGUUCUCAGGCCCUUCCCUGCUAAAGUUGUUCCAAAAGGUCAGAGCCCUUCCAGAUAUAUAAAAUCCAGAUGUCUCAUCCCUCCAAAAACAAAACAUUUCACAUUCAACCACUGCAGAAAGUUUUAUACUUCUUCUCCAGGAAGUGCAUAUUUUACAGACCUUCAUGUUGCUGUUUUCCAUGCUUUUUUCCAUAUUUGCACUCUUGCUUAUGACACUGUCCACAGUGCUUGUAGCAACCCUGUCACACAUUUGAUUACCUGCCAGUAAUGUACAGUGUGUUUGCUGCACUGGCUCAUCACUACAUCUCACAUUUUAUUUAUGUCCUCAGGAGUCAGAGGGAGUUGAAAUGAGC